GGGGGGGGGGGGUGGGGGGCUCACCAGCUCCAACCCCUCCCCCUUCCUUUUACAUUUCUUACUCUUUCUUUCCUUUCCCUCUCUUUCCCUUCUCUCCACCCACUAUUUAACUGCCUUUCAUCAAUCUCAAUACGUAUAAGUGUCUUGCUGUGAUAUUUUAUUUAUGGUCUUGCUCUACUUUGCCCAAAUUCUAGGUUCUUCAACUCUUAAUUUACCUUCACAACUUCUAGUCUUUGGAACUAUAUCUUCAUGAAUCUCUCCCUCGCUAUCUCUUUUUCUUUUAUAUUCUAGGUUGCUAGUGCUUGAACUCUAAACGUCUAGUCACUGGAACUAAAAGUCAUGCAAUCUAUCACAGUCCACAUUGUUGUUGGCAAUUAUCUCAUAUAACAAGCAACAGCAGGAUAUUUUCUCAAUCAAUUUCACUUUCUUCUUUAUUGCUGAUGCAAGUUGUGCUCUCCUUGUUUUCCAUCACAUGAUCAAAAUAGAAAGAAAAGCUAUAGUCGAUGAACCAGGGCAUGAUGCAAGAUCCAUGCUUUUCAAAACAAAUUUACCAAAAUAGAAAAUGCAAUCACAUUUUUCAGUCAAUUUUGCUUUUAAUUGAAAAAAUUGCAAACUUAGUCCAAGAGCAACACCUAAGUUAGGUUGGACUGAGGCCAAAGUAAGAACAAAAUAUAUCCAAGAAGCCAAUCUUACUCCAUUUCUAAAUUUUAAUGUUUUAUCCAACAAGUUAGAUGAACUGUGCAGUAAACCCCAAAAUCUCCCAUAGCUCGAAUGUUUCUCUACAACAAUUCCAAUAAGUGUAAUUUUAGGUCCAACGCUCUCUUCCCAAUAUUGAGGUCAUAAAGCAUUACCAGCACAUGCUGGAAUACAGGGACAAGAAAUUACGAAACCCCUUCUCAACGUUGAGAACAACAUGAGGAUAAGGAAAUAGCUUGCAAGGCAAGCUUGAUACUAUACAGCCCAACUAUGAGUGCCAAAUGUGAAGUGAUAAAAAAAUCCGGUUCAUCUUCUUUCCACAUUUUUCUAACAAAAGUCAUUACUAUCUAAAAAGUAAUUUUAUGACGUGAAACAUUUGUAGACAGAAAUAACAGAAGCUUAUUAAAUAAUUUCUUUCAAAUACAAUGAAUAUAUCAGAAACAGUCCAUUGAUUAUGAGAUCAUCCCAACUAAACCACAUCAAAGAAUAUUCUUUUACAUUUUUUUAAUGCCUAAAACUGUGGAUUAUCAUUAGUUUUGAAUUAUUAACAUGUCAAAAUCAUUCCCAUUAAAAGAAAACUACACAUAAAAUAAUCUUCUUUUAGUUUUUUCCAUGUCUAAAUCUUUGUGCCAUGACUGGUAAUAGUCCAGAUCACAAGCUAUACUUGAUAAGAUCUUAGUUUAUCUAGAGUUAGCAAUUGAUCAUUUCAUAAUGCAAAAAAAUCAAGACAUGGAUCCAAAAUUAGCCGUAAUUGACAUUGUCAACCAAAAGGUAAACCAUAACCUAUAAGACAAACUUCAGUAUAGAAUACAAAAUCAAGUCCGUGUUGCAUGAUAAACAACCUUCAAAUAUAACAAACAUCAAUGGAACAUAAAAAACAAAAAUCCCAGUUUUUCAGCACAAAGAUCAAUAUAAAAUAAAGAUAACCAGAAAUUCAAGAAACAAGUAUACUAAAUCUUAUAAACAAGAGUUAGCUAGAACAUCAACUACAGAAAUCAUCCCACCACAAACAUUUAUAAAUACAUAAAUAACCAACCUUUGCAAAAGUAGUAGCUAGAUCAUCCACAUCAGAUAAAGAGCCUAAACCUACAACCUGCAAAUGAAUAACACAGAAAUCAGAACAGAAAUAGUCAUGUUUCAAAAUCCAAAGUAGAGAAAGUUGAAACCAAGGUUUUGAGUUCAGCCUAGUUAUCGUUUACUGAAUAUAGCUGAAGGGAUGAACGGCAAUACCAACAACUAAAAAUUAGAAAUAAGGCAAAAAUAAGAUCAAUGUACAAGAGUGUGGAUAACAAUGACAUAAAAUCCUUGCAAGAUGAAAGAAAUGCAACCAAAAACUAAUAUAAUAGCUGUUGCACUUGAUGCAUGACAAUACAAAUAUAGGAAUCACAUGUUCUGUUAAAGCUUUUUUUUCUGAGUACAUCUUUUUACUUUCACAUAUCCAUUGUCAACAAUUAAGCAACUAUUUUUUUAUCCAAUUCAUUAUUUAAAAAUUCAAGAAAACCAUAGUGUGUUUACAAGCAUAUAUUUGUAGUAAUAUGUUCCAUGCAUGUUAACGCCAUUAAAUGAUCACAUAUCAGGAAGAGAGAGUUCAAUUAGAUAGAUAAAGUAACUAGUUUACAAAUGCAAAACUCAUUUCACCUGGGCAACAAAAUUUAAAAUACAUGCCAAUGAGAAAACCUUGAAACGCAAUUAUUGUCUGACUACCUUAAAUAAGUAGCAAUUUCAAAUUUUGAACUUGACAGAUAUAAUCUGCUUAAUAAAAAUCUAAUUUCCAAAAUGACCACAGAAUAGAACUUUUUAUUGCUAACUGGUGGAGUGUGUAAAACUGAGAUUAAAAGGUACAGAGCAAAAUGUAAGUUCAAAACAUAUUAAGUUAUGAAACAACUUUGGCUCAAAUAAAGAACUCUAAUGCAAAUUAUUGUUUAGAGUCAUAAUUGAUAUCAUGGGAAUGAAAAAAUAGCAGGAGCUGAAAAGCAAUAGAAAAGAAACCAGAGUUGGCCGCUCAAUGAUAACCGAAUGAACAAAAUCUCACCUCUCCCUUAUCAAACAAAUGGUACUCAUCAUCUUCAGGGGAAGCAAACACAGGAGCAUCCUGUUCAUCGUCUUCUAGACCCCCCAACUCCACUUCUUCCAUAGCAUUUUGACCAAAAAAUUCAUACUGGGAUGCAUCAAAAAGCGCAUUAUCUGCAAAACCACUAACUAAUUCAGCAAUUAAACAGUAGCGUAUACGCGAUCAACCAGCAUAAUAUAGCUUAAUAACCAUCAACUGCAAGAAACAUAAAAAAAAAAAAAAACCUUUGUUUUGUUUAACAUAAACACGUAAUCAAGCGAAUACAAUAAAGUUAGUGGGGGUUAACAGUAAAGACCCGUUUGGUACCCAAGAAGGAAAAAAAUAAAGAUCCGAACUUUCAAAGCAAAAUUCAUCAUCUUUUCGCAUCAUAAAAUCAAACUAAUUAAGUAACGGGGGAAAAUCGAAAAAGAAAAGAAGGAAUUGAGGAAAGAAACCUGAGGAAGAUAAGGAGGAGAAGUUGUUGUGAAGUUUGCCAUCGGAUCGAUCCAUAUUUACAAAAACCGACGUAACAAAAAAAGAAACCCUAGCUAGAUAUAGCAGAUAAAACAGAACGAUAAGAUGAAGAAGAAAUUAAAACCCUAGAGAUACAGAAGGAAACGAAGAAAAAUCUCUCUGAGAGAGAGAGGGGAGGGGGGUGAGAGAUUAGGGGGAGGGAGGAGAAAGGGGGGGGUUUUGAUUUCGGGUCUGGGGUUUCGAUUUAAACCAAAAAGAGGAAGGAGAAAAAGAAAAAUGGAGGAUAGGAUUGAUUAAAUUUGUGUGUAUGUUUUUGAGUGCACGCCGAGAUUGAAGAAAGACACAUGUGCACGGUGAGAAAAUGACGCUCAUUCAUCACAAUUCACAAGCUUAGAUCCAUUUCCAUUCACUAAUAUUUAUUUAUUAAUAUAUUAAAACUAAAGCAUAUUUCAUAUGUAAAGAUUCUUCCCCACCCAUAUAUUCUCUAACCCUUCUUCACCAUAUUUUCAAAAAUUAUUACUUUUAUAAAGUCGCACUAAUUUAUUUUUACAAAAAAAAUCUUACUAAAAAAUAAAAAAUUAAAUUAAAUUAAAAAAUUUAAUUAAAGCCCUCGUCAAUAAUUAUUAUCGACUAUUUUAACCAUUAAAUUAUGUUGGUGUGAUUAACAGAACCUUUAAAAAGAUAACACAUGGCAUCUGAACAUAAAUUAUCACUCAAAAAUUUCAUCAUUUUCAUUGACUUUCUUAAACCUUGAAACCAUCCAAAUAACCCAUUUCUUUUGCCAACCCAUUACCGAUGCCAGCCACAAAAUGAGCAGUGCGUUAGUCUCUCGCCUCCAGCAAUGUAGGUCGAUUUGGAUAUGGGUUUGAAGUUUUCAUCGGGAUCCUCUUGCUUAUCACCACCACAAUUGAUUCCAUAAUCUUUGUCGCCGUCAAGACUCGAUGAGGAAACCAUAAAAAGUUACCCAAAGUUGAUGUACACACUCUCGAAGAAAGAUCUUUUGGAUACAUGUCGUGUCGUGUCGUGUGCUUAGCUAAUUACAAAAGUAAUGAUAACCUUACACUCUUGCCUGAUUACAACCAUUUCUUCCAUCUCAAAUUUGUGAACCACUAGUUGCAAUUGCACUCCACAUGUCUUAUUUAUUUGACAUCUCCAAUCCCACUGUUGUUUUCACUGUCUACCUUAUAUUUGUAAUUUUAUAUUUUUAUGACUUUAUAUAUUUAAUUUUUUUAUAAUUUAGUAUCAUUUUCCUAACUUUUUAUUAUAUUUAUAAUUUUUUAUAUUUGCAAACAUGUUGUCCUUAUAGGGAUUUGUUAACCAUUUUAUUCUAAUCUAACUAUCAAAUUAGUUCAUGUUGAUUUCUCUUAACGGAAAACUUAAUUGAAGGGUUUCAUUGAAUGCAAAUUAAGUUGAAGAAUUUAAUUAAUUUUUAAAUUUUUCACUAAAAACUUUUUAGACCCAUUAAAUAAAAAUACAAAAUAAUAUUUUUGCUCUUAAACUCUAAAAAAAUUAUUUUAGCCUUUUUUUUUAUUUUUUUGUGCUUUAUUUAACUCUUAAACUAUUAUUUAUUGUUAAAUUAUUUAAAAUUGGAUGGAAAAAUUAAUAGUGUCAAAGGUAAUAUCACUUGAUAGUCUAUAUAUAUAUAUUAUUUAUUAAUAUGACAUUAUUUAUUUUAUAUAUCAUAUUAGCUGCUAAAAGAUUUAACUAUUAAUAUUGACCAAAAACACUAUUGAAAAGGUGAAUUAUACCCACCUGUGGUAAAGACAAUUUAAUGAAGGUUAAAAUAUGUUGUUAAUUCUUAUACUUUGAUAGAAUUUGAAUUUAAUCCUUAUACUUAAAAAUUUAAAUAUUAAGUAUUUUUAUCUUUUUAUUUAAAAAUUUAAGUUUAGUUACUAAAAUUGUAAAUAUUUUUCUACCAAAAUUUUAUCAACUUGAAAUUUUGAUUAGGUUAUCCUUAUAUAACAUGGCAUAUGAUUGACAUAAAAUAAACAUAUUAAAUGACAAAUUUUAAGGGGGCUGGUAGGGACCCCACCCCCUCCCUAAAAUAGAAAAUUUUUCAUUUAGGUCCCUUUAAAAUUUAUAAAAUUUAAAUAAGUAAAGGUAAAAUUGCACUUUGGCCCCCUAAAAAUGAUAAAAGUUUGAUUUAAUCCUUUAAAAAUUAUAAAUAUAUAGAUAUUAAAGUGGUGAAAUUACAUUUUUACUAUCGUAACAAUAUACAAUUUAAUUCCGAUCUUCCUUAAAAAAAAUUCUAAUUUCAACCUGUGAACGAAGAUAAAAAACCAAAUAAAGAGAAAAAUAUUAAUACACAUUGAAAAGAAAAAAAUGAGUAAAACAACUGGAAUAAGAAUUUUGUGAAGGCUUUGUUCUCCAAAUUAUUUACGAAAAGAUGAGGUCAAGUGCAUGUCUUACAACAAAAAAUAAAAUCAUUUUUAGACCACCCAAGCCAUUUAUGCUAGCUGUUAAAGCAUUAUUAAUUAAUAUGUUAGCUGAUUACUUCUUGCACCAACAAUUAAUAAGAAUCAAGUUUGGGAUUAAGCAUUCCAACAUGAGAUAUUAUCCUUCUUUCCUUUAUUUUUUUACUUUUUUUUUUUUUAUAACCAUGAAUCUUUUACAGAUUCAAGUUUUCUUUUAGACGGAGGAUGAAAUUGUUUCCAGUGAGGUUGAUAAUAAUUGUGAUGGUGAGAUUAAAUAGGAUAGUAGUAAGAUUAAAAUUUAUAAUGAAAUAUGUGUUUAGAUUCAAAUGUAAUUGUAAUGGUAAAAAUAUAAUGACUAUUAAAGAUAUUAGAUUAUAAAUAAAAUAUGAUAGAAGCUUGUAAAUUAUUUUAUUUUUAUGAUAUUAUAAAAAUAUGUGAAUUUGUAAUUCUAUUUAAUAAAAUAAUAUGUAUCAUAAUAUUUUUAUAAAUAUUUAUUAUAUAAUCAUUUUACAUUAUUUGUUAUACUAAAUUAUAAAUAUUUUAAAAUAUAUUACCUAUAAAAUGAAUAUUAUAUGCACGAGUCUUUUAAAUAGAAAUGAAUAAAGAAGUAAAAGAAAAAAAAAAAGAACAGGAUAUAUUUGUUAAAAUGAGGGUCCAAUGAAUUAAUUGAACCCUCCUAGGCUCCUACCUUUGGUGAGAAAUUUGAGGUUUCGAUGGUAAAUUAAUCGCAAUUCAUCUAAACAUGAGAUUUUACGAUAAUUGAGAAAAAAAAAUAUAAGGUUAAAUGCACCAUAUUGAUAUCAAUCGGGAAUUCAAAGAUACCCUUAUGCAAUGGAGAUGAAUCAAAGUACAAAUCAUGAUGUUCCAUAACCUACUCUUUAAUAUUGUAAAUUGGAUCAAGCGCCUCAAAAAAACUCGAUAAACCUCUUUUAUACCAACUAAAAAAAGACACUAUCAUAGAAAAACUUCCUUAUUGUUUUUUAAUGGUUUGAUUCAGAAUUUGACAUUUGAAAUAUACUUAUUUUGCAAUUUUGGUAUUUAAACCUUUUUAUCUUAAUUUUAUAUCUAAAUUAUCAAUCACUUUUCAAUUUGAUACCUCAAGUAUGCAUAUAUAAAUCACAAAGUACCAUGUGGUGGUUUUAUGUAAAAAAAAUAUUUUCUUUUAUUAAAUGUAUAUGCACAUUAAAAAUAUAAACAAUGAAAAUAUAGAUAUAUAAAAAUUCAAAAUUAUAUAUUAUAAAAAAUAAAAUUUAAAAAAAAUACGAUAAUUGAAAUAAAUAAUAUUAUUACAAAAAUAUAAAAAAAAAGUUAAAAUAAUUAAAAGUUUAAAAGUAAUAUAUUUAUAAAAUUCUAAAAAGGUAUUUAAAUUUCAAAGUUUUUUUACAAUUACUUGAAAUUUAAUUUUUUUUAAAAUUUUUAUAACCAUUUCAAACUUUAUAUAUUAUUUUAGCUUUUUAAAAUUUAAAAUUAUAUAUUUUAGAAUUUUAUAAAAAAGAAUUAAACUUUUUAAAAUAUAUAUUAUAUAUUAUAUAUAAUUUUUUUUAUAUUUUUAAUUAAUAUAAUAUUAUUUUUUAAAAAAAAUAACACGUAAAAUAUUCUAAUAGCACCAUGUAACAGGUCAAUGUCGAUCAACGAUCAAUCAAAGUCAACAAAAUUUUUUAAUAUUUAAAUAUUUAAUAUUUUUUAAUUUUAUUUAAAUUUAAUCUUUUUAUUUGAAACAAACAUAUUUGCCACUUGGCAUUUUUUAUCCAUCAAAAAUAAGCCACAUGACACUUUUCCAUUGGUCAAAGUGACCUUAUAAUUUUUUUUUCAAUCACUGAUUACAAAAUAAACCAAAAACAAAAGAAAUUGAUACUUUUAAGUAUUAAAUUGAGAUAAAAAAAAUUUUAAUUCCAAAGUAAAAAAAUAAAUAUACUUCAGAGCUAAAUCUUAAAUUAAACUUUAUUUUUUUUAAUUAAUCAACUUAAAUCAAGAUUCUAAGAUCUUAUCCAAAUAAGUCGCUUUCCCUGCUGCUAACUACUUCCCACCUAUCAGCUGCCUUCUUCUUCGCUUUCGCCCGAAGCCAAAUCCAAAAUAACAAACAAAAUAAAGUGAACCAUUUGACUCCUUAAGUAAACCAUCUAUUCCGACACAGACAUUUCCCAUUCUAUAAAACUAUAAUAAUCAUACUGAAUUACACAAAAUUUGACCCUUUAUGUUUUUGUAAUAAUCCGAAUGAGAAUAAAAGAAUGAAUAUUAGGUUUAUGGUAUGAACAAAAAAUAAUUAAAAUAACUUGAUAUGAUAUGAAAAUACUAAUUACCUAAUAUAUCAAAAUUGUAUACAACACAAACCCAUGUGAUGGUUUAAAGAUCAAAAGUGUUCAACGGCUCAGAUGUGACUUGGAAUUCGAAUUGCAUUAAUCACGUUUAUUGUUUGAGAUUUACCCUGUUAUUAUAAUUCACUAAAAAAAAUUUAUAUACAACACAAAUUUUGAGCAUAUAUAAUAUAUCGGACAUGAAGUAUAAAAAUAUGGUACAAAUACAAAAUUAAUGAAGAAGGUGUUCGCAGUUUAUAGUGUUAAUGAUCUCUAAUUUCUUGUUACUUAGAAAAGUUAAAAAUAAAGAUGCAAAUUAUGUUAUGGAUUAAUUAGAUUAGCUAAGUGAUAAGCUUAAUGGUUUGAUUUCAUAUGGUCACCUUUUAUAUUAUUUAUUAUUUAUAAUUAUAUUUAUAUAUACUUUUAAAAUAAUUUGUUUUGUUUAAAAGUUAAAUUAAAAUAAUUAUAUGGAAGAAAAAAAAGAGGAGAUAAUACUUUUAAGCGGUAUUUAGUGAAAAGAAAUAUUUUGUAAGAACACAUUUAUAUAUAUAGGGUAGAAAUGACUUUUUCUAGAUAUCACAACUGUCAACAUCCAAGCCCUACGAAUAACAAUUUUCUACCGUAAAAUUUGCAAUGUAUGAAGAUUUUUUUUUAUAAUAUACACUUUAAUUUAAUUAAUUUUGUUUUAAUAUUGUUUUUAUUGCUUAUUAUUAUAAACAUUACAUAUUAUAUAAUACAUAUUUUCUUUUUUCUUUUUAUUUCUCGAUAUAUCUAUUGGAACAAAUCCAAUAAUUAAUUUUUCUCAUUUUAUAGGCUUAUUAAAGAGUAGAUGCUAGUCACGAAUUUUAAAGUUAUUCUAUACUCAGGACAAGGAUCAAACCCUAAACUAUUAGUUAAGAAAAAUCUCUUUAGUAUUGAAAAGCUUUUACAUCAAAAUAGUAUAAGCUCAUUUAUCCCCAGUAUAUAUAUGUGUAUAUAUAUAUAACAAGUUGUUUACAUUGCUUUCAAUUAUGCUGUUUUCACAAUUCGAUUUUCAGCGUUUUAUGACUUUAAUAUAUACAGGAGAUGUAAUAAAACCAUGAACGAAGUGCUUUUCAUGUUUUCUCGUACUUCAAAUUGAAUUUUGUAUUCUUUCUUCGAUUAUUUUUUAGUUAAUGUAUUUGGGAUGUCCUUGAAAUAAAAUUUUUUAUUUUAUUAUUAAAUGAAUUAAUUUAAUCCUUAUAUUAUUAAAAAGAUUAAAUAAGUCUAAAUUAUAAUAGAAUUAACAUUUACUUUUUAAUAAAUAUCUUGAAAACUUUGUGGUGCAAGUGAACAUGAUAGUCCAACAAGUGGUCGGAGCAAAACAGAAAGUAGUACAAAAUCCUUGAGCAGGAACUUGUUAGGUUAAGGAUGCAUCAGCCAAUCAAGAAAAGACUACACACUCUCAUGCAAAGUGAUAAAGUAUGUAUAGUUUAGGGGAUGAAGAAUAAUUCAUUCUGCUACUUUAUCACCUUGCUAUUUUUCCUUGGGUUUUCUUCUCCUCUCCUCUCCUCCAUUUUCACCAACUUAAGGAUUGGAGAAUGUCUAGAACCUUCAUAAUUCACUCAAAUUUAACUUCUCUUAAGUUAUAUUUCAAAAAGAUGAAAAUAUAUUAAAAUUUGUAUUGAAUUGAAAUUUAUAUAUAAUUAAAGAUUUUUUAUUUUCAAAAUAUAAAUAGAAAAAAUUAGUUAAUGAAUUGGAAUAGGAAAAAAAUCUUAAAUACUUAUAUUUAAAAAUUAUAAAAUAAAUAAAAAAUCCAGCAAUUGUAAGUUUUGUGUUUCUAGUAUUUUAAACGAGAAAUAAGAGAUUGACCGUCCAUUGGGGGAUUCCGAAUCCAUACCCCCACAUGAACAACAUUAAAUAAAAUUAAUGUUAUGAACUAACUUAAAGUGAUACCAAACUCCAAUCUCCAACCUACACAUUCCAAACCCAAACAAGAAGUGAGCUGGCGACACACCAAUCAACUUUAAUAUCUGCUUUCUUAACAAAGCUUUUUGUUAUAUAGAUUUUCAUAUGUUUAUAUGCUUAUAUUAUAUAUGGGUGUUCCAAAAGUUGUCAUUACUGCUGUAGCCGUUGUAAACUACCUUUUAAACAGAAGAUUGAAAAGCUACCGAGAUAACGGACAUUAGCACGUCAUGACCGUUUGGUUGCUCUUUGGAAUUCAGCGUUGACGUUGAAGUCGUUACAUCAUUUAUCUCACUUUGUAAUUCAGCCGUUAUAAAAGAAGAGAAAUUAGCUGGCUCAUCACUGGAUCCAUCCUAUUUAUUAAUUAAACCCCGAAAUAAAUAUUUGACAGUGUUAAAAAAACAUUAUAUUUAAAUUUUUAAGCAAAAUUUUAAACCAUGUUACAUAUUACUUUAGAAUUGGUCAAACAUUAUACAUAGAUUUUGUUAGUACUUUAUGCCAAUGCCAUUUGUAUUAUUCUUAGUAUGCUUAAAAUCCACUAAUGCUAAAACACAGGUCACAAAUUCUAAAAUAACAUAUUAUUUUAUCACCAUUUUCCAAAUUAUAUGUACAAUUCAAGUCUGAUUUAACAAUUAAUUUUGUUUUAAAAGGACUGAUCAAUUCUUGUUUCUUGUUUUAAAGCAAUUUCUACCGCAUUUUCAUUUUAAUUCUUAAUAUUUUUUAUCUCGAUUAAUAUUUUUAAAAACAUUAUUUUGGGGUGACUAAAAUGAAAAUGUGAACAUGAUUUGGCGUAUAUAAGUUAAUUACCAUUAGAAAUUUAACUGUAAGGUGAUUAAAACGUCCAAAAAAUUAAGUCACAAUAUUGUAAGGUUUCAUUUUGAGUGACCAAAAUAAAAAUAUCCUAUAAAUUGGGUGACUAUCUAAAUAGUUUACCCCCAAUAUUUUUUAAUAAUGAUGUGUUGUGAACCGUCCUCAAACCAGGAAUAAAAUUCGAUAGUCCCUACCCACCAUUUCCCAGCCUGCCUGCCUUUGCCAGCAAACGCCUCUCCUUUCUUUUUUUUUUUUUUUGGAGCAAACCAAAGUGAUCGAAUCGGAUCCCUUAUCUGUCACCCCCACCCUCAUAUAUAUACACAUUCAUUAAGCACUAGUUUUUAUCUCCAACGGUGUCAGAGAGAGAGAUUGGGUGGCCCUUGAAUUUCUCCAAUAAUGGUGAUGGGAAUGAAGAAUUGGUCAGUAAAGAAGAAGGAGAGGUUCUGGGGCAGCUGGAAACUCUCAUCAGCAUUCAAGUGGAAGAAACCCAUUGAUUUCCAGGUGAAGAUAAUCGACAAUUUGGUAUUCAGAGUUCUUUAUGUUGUAGAAGCCGUAGUUCUUGUCUCCACUCUCUGCUUCUUCUAUCUUUGCUGCGGCUGCAGCAUUUAAUUUAUCUUCUUUCUUUCAUUCUUCCCUUUUUCUUUCUUUUUAUUUUACCUAUCGCAAUAGAUGAUGGUAAGGUAACCUUAUAAUUCUUCUUUUUUGUAAUUUUUUAAAAUUCUUUCUAGUUUUGCUCUUCAACUUUUUUUCCAGGGAAAUGUUUCCUCAUCAUAACUUUAUAUAUAUUAACUACAGUGUGUUAGAAUUUUAUUUGGUUGAAUUUGUUUUAUUUACUUAUCAUUAAGGAAGGAUGCAUAUGAUUUUUGUUCUAUUAUGGAGGAUUAAUGAAGUUAUUUGUAUGUUAUAAAUAUAUAUAUUAGGAAUUUAAAACUAAUAAUCUAUUGGAAAUUUAAAACUAAAUGUUUAAUAUCUCAUUUUCAAAUUAUUUGAAAUUGAUACAGUGUUGUUUUUCAAAAAAUAAUAUUGAAAAUUGAUAUUGUGUUUUUAAUACUGAUUUAUAAAUAAAAAUUGAAAAAAGGAAUGGAAACAAAUUGUAAGGUCCGACAGGCGGAACUCGUAAAGCUGGUGCAAGUCUGCAGUUGUCCAAGUUAAAGCCGGCAAACUCCAGGCCGCUUGGGGGAAAGGCGCAAGUUUAUCCACGUCACAUAAAUUCAAUAAUUAAUAUAUAAACUUAUUUCACCCUUCAAUUUUAUUAAAAAAAUUAUUUUAAUUUUUUAUUUAAUUUUUCAUAUUUUUUAGUUCUUAAUUAGUAUUAUUUAUCAAAUCACCUUAGUAUAGAUGAAGAAAUUAACAUCUAUUAACUUUACUGACAUGUUAUUUAAGUGUGCCAAAUUAGCAAAUAAUUAAUUUUUAAAAAUUUAAACAUAUUUUUAUAUUUUUUAUUAGUGUUAAUAAUUUUUAGAUUUUUUAAAAAUUAUUCAAUUACUGAUAAUUCACAUGUAUGACAUCAACAAGAGCUAAAAGAAACGAAAAAUUAAAUGAAGAGCUAUUUUUUUAUAAAGUUGGUAGGCCAAAUAAGUUAUUAUGCCUAAAAUAUAUUAUGAUAUAAGAUAAUUUUAAAAUUGACAUGCCUCGAAUUGCGGGUUAAAAUUUUUCAGGAAUAUAUUUGUUAGUAUUGAAAUUAUUUUAUUUUGCUGCUUCAAUGACUAUCUGGGCCACUGUUGGGGAUUGGUCUGUUAUAGGCAACAGAAAAACCUUAAACCCUAAACUCUUUUCCUAUAUUUUCCCUGUGUCACCAACCCUGGUGUUGAAAACCUAAGUAUCUAUACCUUGUUAUGCUAGACUGGCCACUAUUUUUCAUUUUCCCUAAUUUUUUUCCCUCUUCCCAUUUUCUUAUUCUUUUCACUUUUUAUUCUAACUUCUUCCUUUUCCUUUCUUUUUCUUUUUCUUGAUUGUCGCACCAUUAUAGCCACUGUAUUCAUCCACCACCAUUGAUUGUUACAGCUCCUUACAUUCCUUGAAUCGCUGAAUCCCUUUCCCUUAUCAAAUCAUCCUCUUUUCGUUCAGAUUCCGUUGGUGUUUAGAUCUGUUAACGAAAACUAUCAUUAUCUUUUGCCAUAGAGUGGUAAGUGUGAUCUAUUUCAAUGGUUAAAUCUUGAUUUUCGGUUGUACAAUUGAGUUACGUUGUUCUUUUCGUUUUGCUUAAUCGAUCUCUUUCAGGUUUUUGUCGAAAGCCUUAAUACCAAUUACUAACUUGUGUAUCUGGUGCAAAUAUGUCAUUUGAAGGACUGGAUCUAGGGGUAUCGAAUUAGAUCUGAGCGUGUGGAGUAACGAACUAACUAUUGGUGAAAGGUGUGCAUCCUAACCAUGAAAAUCGGUGGCAAAUCGUGUGUGUAUUUUGGGAUCACACGGUCUACCACAUGAGCUUGUGUCCUACACGAUGGGUCAACACGAUCAUGAGCUACUGUAACUUUGUAUUUUCAAUGUCACAUGACCACAACUAGUUACACGGCCCAGUCACAUAAUCAUGUGACUAUCGUUGGGGAUUUUGCUUACUGAUCACGCGACCUUAAUGAAUUACAUGACUUGGACACACGACCAUAUACCUCAACACCACACAGUUGUGUGACCUCUAUUUUACAAUUUUGCCUUAAUCUUUGUGAAAUGUUUCAGUAUAGUCCCUAUACAGUCCCCAACUUGUUUAAAGUUCUCGUAUGCUCAAUUGAGACCCUUUUCUCAUAUUUGUUCUGUCAAUGAUUUGUUUGAUUAUGUAUUAAAUCUGAAAUUGCUACUGAUGUAUAUUCACUGCUACUAUUAAAACUACAAUUGCUAUUGUUUGCAUGAUAAUCACAUGAUCAUAUUGUUAUCAUUAUUGUUUAUUGAUCUAUAAAAAGUAUGAUGUACAAUUGCAUUGGGAUUGGGUUGUUGAAGGAGGAAGUGCUACUGGCAGUUUAUCCUCGUAUCUACUGCAGUUUAUCUGCAGAUCUACUGAUGAUAUAUCCACACGAGCUUAUGCUCCUAUUGUUAUGGUGUGUAAGGUUGGAUGAGUUUUGGGGAAUUCUUACCAUGGAGUGUAGCAGAUGGAUGAGUAGGAAAAUUUUACUAUUAAACCUGCAUAUACAUACUGAUAUCAUCGUGAAAUUGAUAAUAUGAUAUGUACUGUAUAUUGUAAAAUUGUAUGUUAUUAUUUAUUGUUUAAUUUGCUUACUGCUUAUGUGUUAAGACCACAUUAAAUUUUAUACCUCACCCCUUAGUUUUUCCUAUCUUUUUAGAUAACUUUUGAGGUUAGGGCUCGGACUCAACAUUUGGAGCAAUCAUCUGUUUUCAUCUAAAAACGUACUUUUAAACUGUUUUAUUAAUUCUUUUGGACUUUGCAUUAUUUUAAACAGACUGUGAUAUGGAAUUUAACAUUCAUAUGAGGUGUUUAAAUAAAGGAUUUGAUAUAAUAUGCUUUUACCGUCAAACUCAAUUUUGAAUAAGGUUUUCAGGAUUUUAUUUUCAAUUAUUUUAUAAUGGUGGAAAUAUGAUUUUCCUAUCAAUUUGGGAAUCGAAAUCAAAUUGAACGAGAUAAUUAAAAAUAAAUCAACGAUUCUUAAUGUAAUAAGUAUCUACAGUGACUUUUUGAAACCAAACGAAAUUAUUUUCUUGAGAACGAUUCUCAUCAGUUUUAUAAAACGAUGGUUCCUUCUACGAAUUUUGAGACUUUUUGCUAUCGAACACUUUUUAUUAAACUUGAACGUUUUAUUGGUCAUUUCGAUGGCUAAUGUAACUUUUAAUGAUUCGACCAUAACGUAUGAGUUAGGUUAUAGAGGUUACAAAAAUAAAAAUUUUAAAAAAUACAAAACCAUUUUUACAAUUUAUUUUUUUUUCAAAGCCUGUUACUAGACCUCUUGAUUUGCAUAAGUUGUACUUUAAUUUGAUCAAUUUUAGUCUCAAUACUAUUCAGAUUGGUCAAUUUUAGUCCUUAUAUUUCUUAAAUUUAAAAUUUUAGUCCUAAUCAAAUGGUAGCAAUUAAAUCUGUUUGGUUAAAUUCUACUAUUAUGCGUAAAGUUAUAGAUUUAGUCCAUGUUCUUCAACCAGAACAUCUUUAGUUGCUAUAUAUAUAUUUUUUAAAAUUUGAAAUUUCAAUCUUUUUUUAAAGGUCAGUCAUUAAAUCUAUUAAUUAUUUUUGUUUGUUUAAAAUAUAUGGAAAUAACAUGCGAACAUGAUAUUACAUAUACAAUAAUAUAUUUAACAUAUCAAAAUUUGAAAAUAAAAAAGUUAAUUUAAUUAAUUUAAUUCAUAGAAAUAUAUUUGCAAGCAUUCCAUAUAAAAAUCCAAAACUUUAGCCACAAUUUUAAUUUAAGAAAACAAUUAUUUCUUUAUUUUUAUUUUAACAACAAAUUGUAAUUUUUUUAUUUUAAAAAAUAAAAAUACAUUUUUAAAUAAAAAUUAAAAUCUAUUUUCGAAAAUUAAAAUAUGAAAAUAGUAAUGUUGAUUACUAUUAGUAAUUAAACUAAAGAUAAUUUUAAAUAAAAAUAAUUUUACUAAUAUAAUCAAAUAAAAAAUCAAUAUUUUUAUAUGAAUUUGAAUUAAGAUAAAUUAUAUUUAAAUUUGAAAAUUAAUGUUUUCAAUUUUUCAAAACAAUUUCUUUGAAAAUAAUGAAAAUUUUAUAAAAUAAAUAGAUAGAGAGUAAAUAACAAAGAGAAUGAGAGAGCAAAUAGAGAGUGUAUUUUAUUGAUCAAGAAGAAUAUUUACAAAGCUUCUCGAAAGUAUCUAUUUAUAGGCAUAAGAAGUAUAAAUGAAUUAGAGGUCUACUUCUAAUUACUAUUAGAAUUUAAAAUACAUGAUCUUGAUGAACAUCCACUUAAAACUUCACUAGAUAAAAACCCUGUGGGAAAAAAAUUCUCAGUGAAAGAAAAAGAGUACACAUAUCUAUAAUACGUAUAAUAUGCUGCCUUAUUUAAAACUUUAUCAGAGAAAUCUAAUGGGGCAAAACCUCGGUUAAGGAAAAAAGAGUACAACGCGUAUUUGCUCCCCCUCAUGAAAAUAUCACAUACUUUCUCAUAUUCUACGUAUUCAAUCUUGAAUACUAGUAUUUCAAAUGACUAUCUGAAUGUUUUAUAUCACCAUUCUUUUGAAAGUCAUGAGUGAGAAAAUUUUGAGGGAAAUAUAUUUUGAUCUCUUUAGGAGUUUCAACAAUAAUUAUAGCAAACUUUAAUCAUGUUUCUUUUAUAAAAACACAAAUAAGUAUUUUGCAUCAUUUUAUAAUCCUCCUACAGCUACUAUUCACUAUGUCAAAUUUACCACAUAUGUUCAAAUUAUUUCAAUUCAUAUAAAUGAGCAAUUUCUUGAGAAUUUUAAUAUGCUUUCGGCAUUCUAAAUAUUUUAAGAAUUUUAAUAUAAAUUUUACUAUAGAGCGAUUCAUAAAAAGUUGUAACAACAACCAUUAGAUGCAAGUUAAAUCUUUUAUAAACUGUCAGUUUAAAAAUAUAUCUAAAAGUUAUUGCAUUUACCAUAAAAAAAUAUCAUAUCUUUUCAUAAUUAAUGCCAAGACUUAGCGAAAAACUUUAUAUUUUUAUUUUGCUUUUGCAAAACUACUUCAUUUGUACCAUCACUGACUUUAUACCUUUAGAUAUUUGGACUACUUGUCCAAAAACUCUACGAAUUUAAUUGUACUUAAGUUAUGUCUUUUUAUUUUGACCAAUCUAUUCCAUAUCUAUAUUUCUCAACAGAUUUAUUCAAGAUUCUUCUUUUAUUUCAUUAUUUCAACAAUAAUAUUGCAUGCAAAACCAUUGUCGACCACUUUUAUUAUCGAUUACACAUUUUCUUGGAUUGACAUAGCUUAGCGAGAUCUCGUAUUUUCAUUAUUUUAAUCUUCAGUUUCAAGUACCUAAAUCUCUUCUGAAGUUUUAGUUAUGUGUUGGGCUUCUUCUACCAUUAUUGGCUUUAUACCUUUAGAUAUUUGGGGGAUUUUUACUAUAAUAAUAUGAAAAAAAAACCAAAAUGGGAUGCCCUUAAAAUUAUGUACGAAAAUUGGUCAUUCCAAGUGAUGGAGGGUGGUGCAUAAGCGGCACCACCCUCAAAUCCAAACACUUUCUGAAAAAUUUGCAGGUUAAAAAAAAAGAAUAGGACGAAAAAAAAUAAAAUAAGGGUGGAGGGUACCCCACAGGCGGCACCAAUGGAGGGUGCCCCACAGGCAGCACUAGUGGUGCCUUUCUCACAACUUUGACCCCCUCUAGUAUAUAUUCAUCCUGCCCCCUCCAUUCGACUACCAGAUUGGAAAAAAAAUUUACAAAAGAAGAAGAUAGAAAGAAAGAAAGGAGAAGAAGAAAGAAAAGAAAAGGUAGUUUUUUUGUUGUUAUUUUUUAAAUAAAAUAGAUUAUGAUAAGAAAAAAUUAUUUUGUUAGUAUUAUAUAGUUUGUUUAGUGUUACUUUUAUGUUUUGUUUUAAAAUUUAUUUUGUUUAUUGUGAAAUGUUAGUAAGUUUUGUGUUUAGAUUAAUUACGUAUUUAUUGUGAAUUUUAUGUUUUAAAUUUUUUAAAUAUAUUUGAAAGUUUUUAUAUUAGUAAAACUAUUAUAAAGUAAUUGUUAAUUAGUGAUAACAACUAAAAAUAUUUUUGUUAUACAUAUUAUUAGAAAUGACAACAUAUUUGAUAUUGCCUGAUGAGAUAAUAAGUUUAGCACAAAGGGAGAAAGUUGAUAAGAUGAUGAGAGAAGUCCAAGAUUACAGAAUGAAACCAGAAGAAGACAUUGUUCAACACCUUAUUACCGUAAAUCAAAAUAUGCAAAAAGUGUUGUGGAUGGGUCAUGAAAUGAUUAGAAACAAUAAAGUGCAAUACUUAACCCUUAGAGGGACAUUAAUAGAAGAGGAGCAUCAAAUCAUUUUAGACGAACUUUGGAAGACAUCGGUACCACGAACUUAUUGGAAUCUAGUUAUAAACUUCGCGAGGUUUAUAAUAUCUUAUGGAGCAAGGAAAAUAGCGAGACAAAGUAUAGGUUCAUGAAAGUUAAUUGGGAAGAAAAAUGUGUUUGACAAACCAUGGAUGGAUAAAUUAGUUGUUAGGAAAUUACCAAGAGAACUUAUAUAUUCAAUACCAGUUAUAAAGAUUGAAGAGGCAGAAGAUCCCGAGGAAUUUCCAAAUUGGAUUGUAGAAGAUGAAUCUGAAGAGAAUCAAGAUUUUCUAAAUUGGAUUAUAGAGAAUUUCCCAGAUGAAGAUACGGGAUCGGAGAUAGAAGAAAAUGUAGAACUGAAUAUAAGUGGUUAAAUGUAAAAAUAAAUGUUGUUCAUGUACAAAAUUAGAACUGAAAAAGUAUGAGCUUAUGAAUGAAAAAAUUUGCAUAUUGAUUAAUUAAUUUUGUAUUUAAGUAAUUUAUUUAUUGUUCGAAAUUGUUUUGAGAAAUUUUGUUUUUUUUAACAGAUUGAGUAUUGAAGAUGGAUAAUUAGUUUUUCGUAUGCGUUUAUUUCGAUGGAAUCAUCUUAACAACAACCGUUGGGUGCAUAUUUGAAUGUCGACAACAAAUAGCAAUGAGAUUUAAUAGAAAUGUCUCAUUGGAUGAUAUAAAGGGAAGAAUUAACGCAAAAAUUGUUAAACAUUGUGGGAGAAGGAUCUCAAAACUUUUCUACAAGUUUCCAGUUUCGACAGAUCCUAUCAAAUUCACCGAAAUAGAACUUGUAGACGAUGAAGACGUGGAGACAAUGAUAGCUCUUUACUGUGGGAAUGGGAGUGACAAAAAAUCACCGAUGCACUUAUUUGCUGAGUUAGCCGGUAUAGAGCAGAAUGAAGAUCUCACUGCAUAUGGUGAAGAACAUGCAACUGAAGAACCGUGCGUGGUGGCUCCAAUAUCGUACGUUGAUAGUGAAUCGACUAUACGUGGGAUCGAUAUCGAUCUUAAUGUUACACCCGAUAUUGACGUGGUUGGUGAUGAUGGAUACGAUAAUAGUGAUCAUUAUGAUGAAGAGGUCGAUAGUGAUAGUGAUCCCGAUGUGGACGAUAUCCCCGAUAAUACUGACGAUGAAGAUGUGAAUGACGAUGGAAACAUUAACGCGUCUUCAGUAGGGAACCAGAUGCGACGUAUUGUGAUACACAAUAACUCUGGGCCACACAUGUCGCUCAUAGACCCCGACGCGGUGUAUGAAGCUGAGUUCUCGGAGUAUCCUGAAAUACUUCCUGUUUACCGGUUGGCCGUAAAUUCUGAUCAUGAUGAGUUAUUAAUAGGUCAGAGAUUCGAAAGUAAAGAAGAGUGUGUAUUUGCUAUUAAGCAGUAUAGCAUGAAUAUAUCAGUGGAUUACAAAGUUACAGUGUCUAAACCGAUAUUAUAUAUUAGAGAGUGUUGGAAGUCGGCGGAAGGCUGUAAUUGGCAUGUACGAGCUGCAUUUAUUCAAAAAUCACAGAUGUGGGAGAUACGCAAAUUUGUUGGGCCUCACACGUGCACAUCAAUACGUAUGACUGAAGACCAUGGAAAACUUGAUUCCAAAACUAUCUGUACGUUUAUCAUGCCAAUGGUGAAGGACAUGCUGACAGUUUCAGUACUGAUUUCUAAAAUGCAGGCACGGUUUCAGUAUCUAGUAUCAUAUCGAAAGGCGUGGAUAACUAAACAAAUGGCAAUGGAGCAAUUGUAUAGGGAUUUCGAUGCAUCGUAUAACGAGUUAUAGGGAUGGAUAGCCGCUAUGCGGGAGUACGUACCUGGGACUAUCAUUGAAUUACAGAAAUGACCUUAUUACAGCCCGGAUGACCAAUUACAACCAGAAAAAAGAAUUUUUCAUCGGAUGUUCUGGAUGUUUGAUCCAUGUGUGUGCGCAUUUCCCCACUGCAAGCCGUUUGUGCAAGUAGAUGUGACGUGGCUAUAUGGAAAAUAUACACAAAUCUUACUUCUUGCGGUUGCUCAAGACGGCGACAGGAACGUGAUCCUGAUAGCAUUUGCCAUCGUAGAUAAUGAGAACAUGGAAUUGUGGGAAUUCUUUCUUACCAACUUGCGGAGGUAUGUUAUUAGCAACGAUAAUAUUUGCAUCAUCUCCGAUAGAGGGAAAGGAUUAAUUGCCGCCAUUAGGGGUUCCGGUGUACCAUGGAGAUCUGUUUACUGUAUCCGGCACAUCGCGGCUAACUUUUAUCGAGAUUAUAAGAAUGCUGACUGGAAGAGAUAAGUUGUGAAAAUGGGUAAAUGAUUACCUUAUCUUUUCAACAUAUGUUUUAAUGCUUUAGGCCAAUACUGUAACUUAUCUUUCCUUAAUACAUAUACAGCGCACAAGCUGGAGCCACAUAUUUUUCGCCAAAGAAUGGCUUGACUUGAGAGUGAUAUGGAGGGUCAAACAAACACAUCUUUCCAACAGUGGUUGGGUACUAUGGAGCCGUGGCAAUGGGCUCAAAGUUUUGAUGAGGGCUUUCGUUAUGGUCAAAUGACCACAAACUUAGUGGAGGGGGUGAACGUUGUGUUGUUGAAAACACGACAUCUUUCGAUUUCAUCUGUCUUUUCGGCUACAUUUUACAGGUUGGCAACCUUGAUGCCAAGAAUGGGUCAGUAACAAGUCAACCAGAUAGAGGCGUGAUACGUGUUUGUCGAAGAUGUCAGGGAUGCAAUGGUUGCAAACCGUCAGAUGGCGAGGUCGAUGAAUGUAGAAAUAUAUUCACGAUGCCAUGAAACAUUUCGUGUUACAGAGACCAUCGAUCGUCGACCCAGUAUACCAUCUAGGUCAUAUAGAGUUGAUCUCCGUAACAGACGGUGUGAUUGUAAGAGGUUCCAAACACUUCAUUAUCCAUGUGCGUAUGUCGUGGCAGCGUGUGCUAAGGUAAACCUUAAUGUUGAACAAUUUGUCGAUGAUGUGUACACACUCGAGCGCACGUUACGUGUCUGGGAAAAUGAGUUCCCCGUCAUGCCUGACUUGUCUACGUGGGAGGUGCCUCCGAUGACUUUCAAACUUGUCCCAGACAGAGGGCUACGCAGGAAUCCAAGAGGUCGUCCGCAAUCAUCCAGAAUUCGUAAUGAGAUGGACAUUAGGGAGAAAUCUGAUGGUAAGCGCUGUGGAUUAUGCAGGUUAGCUGGUCAUAAUUGGAGUAAAUGCCUGCAGCGAAACUAUCAUAUUGGACAAUCGUCACGAUUGGGUAGGAAAUGAGCCUAUGUUGUAAUGUAUUUAAUUUAUAUAAAAAAAUUAUAUUGCAAAGUUUGUUCCAAUUAGAUUAAUGUUGUAAUGUAUUUAAUUUAUAUUACAAUACUAGGUUUGUUAAGUUUUAGUGUUUUAAUGUUCAAAAUGUCCAAAUUAAUCUAAUUUACGUUAUGGUCAAAUUUUGUUACAAUUUUCAAAGUUCCAAUUAAUCUAAUUAAAUAUAUAGAAAGAAAUACAAACUUUUUAAUAUCAAAACCCAAUAAACCCCUAAAGUUGAUGGUUAGAUGGUGUGGUCCUAGGGGUAUACCUAUUCGGAGGUCGACGUUCACGUUGUGGGUGAUCGCGACGACCAACAUCCUCUUCAGUCGCAGGUGAGGGUGUCUGAUACAUGGAAGAAAAAUCAUAUGGCUCGAAUGGCAUCGAUGAACUUGAGCCGAGAGGAGUGCCAUGCUGCAGCGGAUACAUCCUAGGAGGAGUGGAGUACUGCGGUGGAUAUGGGCCGAGGCUAGUGCUGUACUGAUUGGGAUACAGGCCAAGAGAAGUGCUGUGCUGCGAUGGAGACGACCCAAAGAUAUCAAACCCGUAAUGGUAUUCGCCCCCUGACGAGCCCGGAAAAUAGUCGUUAUCUGGGAAAUCUGGAUGAUAAGAAGUAUCAGCUGAAUGUGAAUGCGAUUGCUUAGACUCGGCCUCAGGCUGUGCCUCGGGCUCCACCUCUCGCUCAAGCUCGAGAUCUGGCUGUGAAUCGGGAUCUAUAUCGGCCACUGGCUCGUAUGCCCCAGGUCGCUGCACGUGCAGGGGGACUAUAGUCGAUUGGGCACCAAGUAAAUAUGGCUUUCCCAUACUAAAGUACCAUUGCAUGUACUCUGGUGAUAGUUGCAAAUCAGAAGACAUAUCCAUCCGAGGUCUUCGACCCAUCCGAUUAUCCCACAUCACAAUAUAUAUCCAGUGCAUAACCCCUCAAUGCAUUCCAUGUUUCCCUCUCUUGUUAAUGCCGUGAACCUUCCCCACCUCCUUUGGUAGAUCCGGGAUAUACUGGAUGCAACCAAACUGUCGUAUUACUCGAUCCCCAUGGUACCAUUCGACUACAUUGAAACUGAUAAUUGGUGCGUUAGUGCACCACAAUUGAGAAUAAAUGUAGGCAGAAGAUGGUAUAACGGCCACAAGUUCUGGUCUACGAUAUGACAUCCAAAUAAACUGCACGAUUAAUACCAUGGUUAAAAUUUCACACGGUUUGAGUAAGAUAUAUAAAGUAAUUACAUGUCGCGAAUAUUGCAAUAGCUUACCCCUUCUCUAGCAUGUUGCUCAAUCAACAAACGAUAUAUCGGGACAGUGUACGACCUCCUGAUACCCGGAUAAAUACUCCAUCUACGAAAACAAAUUUCAAAUAAAUAUAGUAUCGUUAGAAUAGUAUCAUUAUAAAGAAACUAUCAAUUAAUAACUAGUUAAAUUUUAUCACCUGUUAACUAGUGGAUAUACGUAUGGCUGGUGACUAACCGAUGCCAAGAAUAACAUUCGAAAAAGAGCCCAUGACUGCAACAAUAUAAGGCAUCCGCCUAUGUCUGCAGCAGGAGGCUUUGUCGUCCGACAAAGCUCACGAUACAACAUAGCCAUAACUGCGGAGCCCCAGCUAUACGAGCGAACAUUAUGCAAAUCAGUUAAUAGAGGUAAAUACAUGAGAUGAACCCCGUUGUUGUUCGCAUCGGGCAUCAAUACACCCCCUAUAAUAUGCAUAAUGUACGCUCGAGCUGCGCACAUCAACUCUUCUUCAAUGGCAUUAUCUGGUAAAUGCUGAAACUUUGCUUUCAACCAUGUAAAUUUCAAACCUAAUAAAUUGGACUCAUCAUCGCCGGACGAGGCUCCUAGGAGGCUAUAACAAAGUGCAGUCAGCUCAGCUAUCGCACUUACGCCCGUGACCGAACUUCCGUCGAUUGGAAGCCCAAGUUGCAGUGCAACAUCCUCCAGAGUGACAGUGCACUCCCCACACGGCAAAUGAAAAGUGUGGGUUUCCGGGCGCCAACGCUCAACCAAUGCGGAUAUUAAAUCGUACCGUAAAUCAAACGUCCGGAUCAAUGCUGCUGACCCGAAUCCAGCUAGCUCCAAGUACAGCAUCAGUCGUGCAUCCGGGGAAUAUCCUAAACCAUUCACCUGGCCCCUUAAUACACGGUACGAUUCCUGACAAUGUUAAAUUGCAGAAAAAAGUUAUAAUAACAUAAUUUAUUUCUGAAAAUUACAUAAAUCUUUUUUUAAUGGAACCUAUGAGUAACAAAUAACAAUAUAUUACCGUUUUAUUAACUGUGUCAGCUAUGUGAGGAUCUUUCUUAAUCAAUGAAGCCGUUGCCAUACCUGCAAUUUCAAAAUAAAUUUCGGUUAUUAAUUUCAAUGUUUGAUGGAUUUUAAAUAUUUGUCAAAAUAACUAAAUUUUAUAUAUUGCUUUUAAUUACAAAAAAAAAAUACCAAACCGUUUUUCCGACAACAUAUUUUUUGCCAUACUACAUUAAAAAAAAAUAUACCCAAUUCAAAUACAAAUAUUUUUAUUAUUAUUUUAAAAUGAUAAUAAGUAAAAUAUUUUGGUUUAAAUUAUAAUAUAUAUAAUAUACCCGACAUGUAGUUCAAUAUAUUUUGGUAUUUAUUUUAUUUUCGGAUUUUAUUUUUUAAAAUAUAUUAUUUUCGUAUUUUAUUUUUUAUAUUAUUUUAGUACAUAAUGUUUCAAAUGUAUUAUUUUAGUUUUUUUUAUACUAAUUUAAUAAAAAACUCUGAUUUUGGCCGUUUGUUUUUUUAUUUUAUUUUCGGAUUUUACUUUUUAAAAUAUAUUAUUUUCGUAUUUUAUUUUUAUAUUAUUUUAGUACAUAAUGUUUCAAAUGUAUUAUUUUAGUUUUUUUUAUACUAAUUUAAUAAAAAACUUUGAUUUUGGCCGUUUAUUUUUUAUUUUAUUUUCUGAUUUUAUUUUUUAAAAUAUACUAUUUUCGUAUUUUAUUUUUUUUUAUAUUAUUUUAGUACAUAAUGUUUCAAAUGUAUUAUUUUAUUUUUUUAUAUUAAUUUAGAAAAAAAACUCUGAUUUUGGCCCUUUUUAUUUUUUAUUUUUGGAUUUUAUUUUUUAAAAUAUACUAUUUUCGUAUUUUAUUUUUUAUAUUAUUUUAGUACAUAAUGUUUCAUGUAUUAUUUUAGUUUUUUUUUAUAUUAAUUUAGUAAAAAUCUGUGAUUUUGGCCUUUUUAUUUAUUUUGCUUUCAGAUUUUAUUUUUAAAAUAUACUAUUUUCGUAUUUUAUUUUUUAUAUUAUUUUAGUACAUAAUGUUUCAAAUGUAUUAUUUUAGUUUUUUUAUAUUUAUUUAGAAAAAAAUCUGAUUUUGGCCCUGUUUUAUUUUUAUUUUCAGAUUUUAUUUUUUAAAAUAUAUUAUUUUCGUAUUUUUUUAUAUUAUUUUAGUACAUAAUGUUUCAUGUAUUAUUUUAGUUUUUUUUAUAUUAAUUUAGUAAAAAUCUGUGAUUUUGGCCCUUUUUUUAUUUUGUUUUCGGAUUUUAUUUUUUAAAAUACACUAUUUUCGUAUUUUAUUUUUUAUAUUAUUUUAGUAAAUAAUGUUUCAAAUGUAUUAUUUUAGUUUUUUUAUAUUAAUUUAGUAAAAAACUCUAAUUUUGGCCGUUUGUUUUUUUAUUUUAUUUUCAAAUUUUAUUUUCAAAAUAUGCUAUUUUCGUAUUUUAUUUUUUUAUUAUUUUAGUACAUAAUAUUUCAUAUGUAUUAUUUUAGUAUAUUUAUAUUAAUUUAGUAAAAAACUCUGAUUUUGGCCUUUUUUUAUUUUAUUUUUGGAUUUUUUAAAAUAUAUUUUUUAAAAUAUACUAUUAAGCUAUUCUUUUAAUAUUUUUUAUACUAUUUUUGUAAAAAAACUCAUCACAUAAAAAAUAAAAAAAAAUCAAAAUAUAACAUGCCAAAUAAAAUUAAUAAAAAAUAUAUCUAAUUAACCUAAAACACACUUACCAAAUAAAUUAAAUAAAAUAAUAAUAAAAUAUUUUUUGUACAUAACAUAGAUAGGAUUUUUUACUUCAAUAAAAAUUAAAAAUAAAUUAUGAAUAUAUAUAAAAAAUAAAAUAAAUACAAACAUACCUUAAUAUCUCUUUUUAACCAAAAUAUACCUUGCAAAAAAUUAAAAUAAAAAAUUAAAUCAAAAUCAAUCAACAAUAAUAACAUUAACAACUAAUAUAAAUCAUUUAUUUCCUUAAAUUAACAAUUAAAAAUUAUUUCGUUAAAAAAAAUAUUACCUUUUUUUCCUUCCCUCCCUCUUCUUCUUCUUCUCAUUCUCUUUUUCUUUCUCUUUUUUCUUCCCUCACCAAUGCCGCCCCCUCCUCCUCAUUCUUCUUCUUCUCUUCUCUUUCUCUUCUCCUUCCCCCUUUCUUAUUCUUUACUCACGCACACAAAGAAAUUGGGGACCAUUUUAAGGUCCCCAAACACAUAAUAAAACAAAAGAAAAGGCAGUGAGCAGUCUCGUCGGUGGCAGUGAGGAGUCCCGUCGGUGCAGAGCAGUGACUGGUGCCGCCUGUGGGGUACCCUCCACCAUUAUUUUAUUAUUAUUAUUUUUUCGUCCUAUUCUUUUUUUUAACCUGCAAAUGUGUUAGAAAUGUUUGGAUUUGAAGGUGGUGCCGCCUAUGCACCACCCUCUAUCACUUGCAAUGGCCCAAUUUCGUAUAUAAUUUUAAGGGCAUCCUAUUUUUUUUUCAUAUUAUUAUAGUAAAAAUCCCGAUAUUUGGACUACUGGUCCAAAAACUCUAUGAAUUUAAUUGUACCUGAAUUGUGUCUUUUUAUUUUGACCAAUCUAUUCCAUAUCUAUAUUUCUAAAUAGAUUUAUUCAAGAUUCUCUUUUUAUUUCAUUUUAUCAACAAUAAUAUUGCAUGCAAAAUCAUUGUUGACCACUUUUAUUUUCGAUUACACAUUUUCUUGAAUUGAAAUAGCUUAGCAAAAUCUCUUAUUUUCACUAUUUUAAUCUUCAGUUUCGAGUACCUAAAUCUCUUCUGGAGUUUUAGUUAUGUCUUGGGCCUCUUCUGGAGCACCGCCUCUACUAUAUAACCAUCUAGAAGAAUUAUUUUCUUUUAUAAGAAUUUUCAUAUUUGAAACUUGUAAUGAGUUAUCCUUGUUGAACUUUUGGUUCAAAUUACUCUCCCCUCUGACUCAUUACAAGUUAUUAUUUCUCUCCCCUAAUGUCGGGAAAACUAUUGAAUCAAAAUAGUAAUCACAAAUCAUGUUAUAAUUGAAUAUCCAAAAUAUUUAAAACAUAUAAUAAUACAAGGAGACUUGUAAUUAAUAUAUAUUCCCAACAUUUUUUUUAGGAUUCACUCAUCUUUGUGCGUUGUGAUGGAUCAAUUGGAAUAUAUACUUACAUAAAAAUGUUCAAAUAUGAGAAAUAUUUACCUCUUUACCAAAAACCAAUUGUAAUAGAGAGUGUUUAUAACUUACUGGCUUGAUGCGUACAACACAUAAAUCAACAUAAUUUCAUGUUGAAAUAGGAAGUUUAGUUCUCAUAAGUAAUGGUUUAGACAUUAAUCAGAGGCGUUCAAUCAAUAAUUUCUCUAAAUCAUUUUGCGCAUAAUUAACAAACUUUUACAAAAGUUUUUCAAACUCAAUCAAUAAAAGACUGAGAUACAAACUCAUCAGUAUUAGCAAGAUGAAUUAUCUUAAUUGCAAGAUUUGAAAUUAAUUAUUUAAAUAAGCAAUCUUGCAAAUGACAGGUUGCAAGUUGGUAACACAUGUGAUUAUUUUGUAGAUAUAUCUACCAAAAUCAUAUAAUAUCAAAACUAUCCUCAUGGUGGAUGAAUGAGCCAAUAUUCAUUUUAGAAAUGCAGGACAUUAAAUCUCAACUUUAGCUAGUGAGUUUUUAAUAAUCAAAUUUCAUUGAGAACAAGCAAUAAAUGAGAAUUCUUUAAAUUAAAGAAUCUUUUGGUUCUUUAAGGAAUGUCCAUAUGAAUUACAAUUAAUUUUCACAUCAUAUAUGAUUCAGGAUGGUCUAAUUGGCCAUACCAAAUAGUAAAUGUAUUUGUAUCAGUAAACUUCCGAUUUACUUUAGCAUGAAUUUCAAUUGUAUUAAAUUGUAACAAAUUGGUAAUUUUACUAUCAUUCAUUUUACUUUAUAUCCACAUAUAAGUACUUUGUAACAUUUAUUACUAGAAAUGUCUAAAUCACUGUGAAGUCUAUAAUGACACUAAGUCAACAAAAUAAGUACUUAGUAACAUUUAUUACUAGAAAUGUCUAAAUCACUGUGAAGUCUAUAAUGUCACUAAGUCAACAAAAUAAAUAUAAUUUUCAAACAAUUAUAUGCAAUAUUCGCUUUAAGGAAUAUACCAUUUUUUUUGCAUUGAGUCUUGACAAUUUUAUCAAGAAGUAAGUAAAUUGAACUCCAGUAGUAAACUUUGAAUCCAAUCAAAAUCUAUUAAUAGCAAACUUUGAGAGUGAAUCUUAUUUUCCAAGUGUAUACAAGAUACAUAAUCAAUGACUUUUCAUACAUAAGUUUUCUCUUUUGUAAGUUCUCAUUAGUAAUAUUUUUCUACAUAUUUUUAAUUGAUAAUUUAUUCUGAAUAUUGUAGAGUUAUACUCACAGUUAAAAAAAAAAACUUGCAACUUCAGGUGCAUCCAACCAUAACGAGCUUUAGAUAGAAUUAUCAUAUUCUAUUGCUCAUAAGUAGAUUUUUCACAGUUAAAUAUUUUGAUUUCAAUCCCUUAAUGGGGAUGAUGACAAAAGAAGAUCACAAAGAUAAUCACAGUUAAUUCAAUUUAAUUAUAAGAGUACUCAAUAAUUCAAUCCUCUUUUGAUUCAUAUGAAAUAUAAUCUUUCCCUCAUUCAUAAUCUCAAUAUGAGAUCUAUUAUGAAUAUCUUUUAAAACCAAUGGAUUAACCAUCACAAGAUAUUAAUAUAUUAGCUCUUCUGGAGCUUUCGACUAAUUUUGUACUACUAAAUAUUAAAAUAAUAUUGGUUUUUUAUUUUUUUUGUGCUUGCGUUCACUUCGGGUACGAACUUAUAAUCUUCCCAAUGGAUUUUUAUUUCAUAAUCACCAUUACAAACAUGCGUCGAUUUUAAAUCAAAAUCUAUUUAUUUAUGUUCUCAUAAUUAGUCUCCAAUCAUAAUAAACAUGAUAUAAUAAAUAAAUCAUAGUAAAAUAUACCUAAAGAUCUUUAACAUCACCGUAAUCAACGUAAGAAUUAUAUAAAUUUCUUUGCAUAAAAGGGCAUAAAAAUUAGAGAUUUAUGUGUACCUAAGAGGUUAAAGGCUCUAAUGAUUACCCAUAGUGUGCAGGCCUCAAUUGAAAUAGCAGCAGCUCUAGGAGGCAAUCGACAACAAUAAAUUUUGAGAUAUUUUUGUACUUAUGGAGAAAAAUAAUUAAAAGAGAAUUGUACUGAUAACGUUUAUAAAAUAAAUAGACAGAGAAUAAAGAACAAAGAGAAUAAGAGAGCAAAGAGAGAGCGUAUUUUACUGAUCAAUAGAAAUAUUUACAAAGCUUCUCCAAAGUUUCUAUUUAUAAGCAUAAGAAGUAUAAAUGAAGUAGAGAUCUACUUCUAAUUACUAUUAGAAUUUAAAAUACAUCAAAACUUAUCUUGAUCUUAAUGGACAUCCAAUUAAUAAGAUAGUCAUAACAAAAAAUAAAUUUUUCUAUUUUUAUUUUAUUUUAAAGAACUUUUUUUAAAAUUAAUUAUAUUUUCUUUAAUAUGUUUUUAUUUUCCCAAAACAAUAAAAAUUAAAAUAACCUUUUAUUUUUAGAAAUUAAACGUGCCCUUAACUUUUACUUUUCUCACUUUCUCUAUUUUUCAUUCCAAUUAGAAAUGAAUGAAAAAAAAAGUAUUUUACGUCUUCACUUUUUUUUUUCCUUAUUACUAUAUACAUUAUUUUACUUCUUUUUUUUUAUCUUACUUUUGUUUUUUUUCGAGACUUUACUUUUUGGCUAAAUUAGCUUUUUAUGCCAAAAAUUUUUAUUUAGCCUUCUAGACCAUUUUCUUUAAAAUUAGGAAAAUAGGUCAAUUUAGUUGGACACACUUUCACACACUUUCUCUUAAGGUUAGGAUUUUUUUUUAAUUUUUGUUAGGGUUAGGGUUAUAGUUUUUUAUUUUUGUUAGGUUUUAAACUGUAAAAGUUUAUAGGUAAAUUUAAGGGGCCGUGGGUGCGAUAACGUGCCUCAGAACACAUGCAUUUCAUAUGUCAUGCUAGGAUAGGACCAUUACCUUAGAAACUCAUCCUAUGGAAGUCCAAUUUCAAGGUAAUAAUGCUUGAUAUGAUCAUGGGUUGAAGACUAAGUAGAGGUUGCAGUCAGUAGCCAUGAUACGAUCAUGGGUUUGAGUAUAAUCGGGGAAUAGUUUACGGUUGUUAUGUGGUCACGAGUUCAAGCUUUUUAGAUACUCGCAAAUGAUGCCUUAUAUAUAUUAUACAUAAGAUUGAAGUCAUAAUCAUAGGAAAAAGCGGAGGGAUUUCUAGUGUAAUCAACAUAAUUUUUUUCUCUAAUUUCAAGUAGCUGAUAUUUUUAAUCUUUCAUUUUUAUAUAAAGGCUAACAUCGAGGUGGACACAAGAAGGCUCUCAGGCAAAGAGUAGAUGUUCCGACACAGUAGAAGUCAAACUCCAGUCGGCACGACAAUGGUUGUUAUUAAUGAGUUGUUUAAUAAUGAAAAUCAUUGUCACCCUGGAAGGAGCAUCACCUUUACUACACCGCAACAGUUGCUAUUCACCUGAGAGUCCUCCUGCGUCCAUUGCGAUACUAGCCUUCGAAUAAAAAAGAAGGUUAAAUAGACCAGCUAGUGGAAAUGGAGAAAAAAAUUACGCCGAUUAUAGCAAGAAGCCCCACAAUUUUUCCUUAUGACUAUGCUGUUAAACUUUUUGUAUGGUAUUUGUAAGGAAACAUUUCCUGGUAUUUGAAAAGUUUGAGCUCGUGGUCGCGUAACAAUCAUCAAAUUGCUCCCCUAUUAUACUCCGAUUCGUAACUGCAUUAUGGCCAUCGAUUGAUACCUAUACAUAAUUUUUUUUCUCUAAUUCCAGGUAGCCAAUUUUUAACCUUUCAUUCUUACCAGAGGGCUGACACCAAGGCGGACACAAGAUGGCUCUCAGGCGGAGAGUGGAUGUUUUCAUAUAGCAGAGGUCAAACUCAGGUCGACACGACAGCAGUUGUAAUUAUUAAUGGGUUAUUUAUUAACGAUAAUCAUUGUCACCCCGAAAGGAGCAUCACCUUCAUUGCACCAUAAUAGUCACUAUCCACCAGAAAGUCCUUUUGCGUCCACGACAAUUUUGGCCUUCGAAUAAGAAGAAAGGUUAAAGAUAUCGGUUGCAUGAAAAUGGAGAAGAAAAUUACGUCGAUUAUAGCGGGAAGCCUCACAAUUUUUCUCUGUGAUUAUGCCCUUAAACUUUUGUAUGAUCUUUAUAAAGAUACAUUUCCUGGCAUCUGAAAAGUUUGUGCCCGUGGUCGUAUAACAACCAUCAACUGAAUCCCCUGUUAUACUUUGAUCCAUGAUCGCAUAAUGGUAAUGGAUCGAGACCUCUACGUAGACUUCCACUAGUGAUCAUACAAACUAAAAUAAUCUCGACUUCCACUGGAUAGGCUUCGAAGGUAAUGGUCCCAUCUUAGCAGGAUAUAUGAAAUGUGUGCGUUGAUGGAGCAAUAUCGCAUCACUGAUGACUCAAGAAUAUCUCGAACCGAAAGUUAUAUUAGCGAAUAAAACUUUUAACAAUGAAGUAGCUAAAAAACAAAGAGAAAGAAACAUUGUAAGAUUGAGUAUGGAGAUGAUGUAUUUGGGAUGAUGGAGUAUGAAGGGGGACACCCCUUUUAUAGGUGUGGGGGAAGGAUCAGAUUGCAAAGAAAAAAUCUAGUGGUUGAAAACUCGUUGCAGGAUCAACAUUUUCAUCGAAUAUCGCUUAUACGUGUUGAAAAUUUGCAAAAACAUUGCUUGGAUCAGGUAUUUUUAUUCAGGCUUUUUGAAAACAUUAGAGAAAACUCGUCCAACUGGGCGAGCUUUUCUGCUGACAUGGUAGGAAAGCGCUUUGAGCGUUAAUCUAACAAUAGUUGGAUUAUCUUCUAGCUACUCGGGUAGUCCUAGAUAACUCAGUCCAUGGUUUCACCUAUACAAUCAAUCCGUUAAUUCAAGCAUAUAAUAAAUAAACAAUAUUUACUAUACAAAUUACAUAUUUAUUAAUAAAUUAUUUUUACCUUAUCGCCAAUGGAAACAUACAUGGGUCGUUCACUCGGGGAUGUAGAAAUGAUAGUUGCCACUAAGCCCAUAAUUGCAGUAGGAGCAGACAACCACCAAUUGACAUCUUAUCCGGUUUUGUCUCCCGAUACCUCUCCUCAUACAAUGUGGCCAACAUGACUGAUCCCCAACUUAUUCGUCCGCUUUCUUUAAAGUCGAUUAGGUGUAAUAGUCACCUUAAGUGUACCAAAUUUUGAGAUUUAUCAGGCAUUAGAAUGCCCCAAUUAACCUUAGAAUGAAUGCUUGAGCAUAUUGUUCUUUGACGACGUCGGGUGCAUCUGUAGUAAACUUUUUGAAAUUGGUUUCCUACCACUUCAUAUCUAUGCGACUACCAUAAAUUUUAUUUGACACCUUCCCCAAAAAUGCCUUGCAAAGGUCCUCUUUACCGGAAACGAUCACUGACCCCAUGACUAUUGACCCAUCCACCGGUAAACUGAGUUGUAAAGUUAAGUCCUCGAGUGUCAUGGUACAUUCGUAGCAUGAAAGAUAAAAAGUGUGUGUUUCAGGCCUCUAUCUUUCUACCAACACAUUGAAGAAUGUAGGAUCGAGUUUGCUGCCCCCGAGCAUACGAGACACAUGCAAGAAUCUCAUGUCUUGCAAGUAACCACAAAUUUUGGUGAUUGGGCCCUUUGACAAAUUAUAUAUGAACCCCUUCAAAACACGAUAAUCCACCUAUUUAUAUUGAAAAAAAAAUAAUUUAAAAAAUAAAGAAAACUUUAAAAUUAACUUAAUUUAAAACAACAAAAUUUACAAUUUUGUCUUACCAUUAUCGCUUGAGCGAGAAAAUGUACUUGUCGUCGAAACGAAUCAGAAAAGUUGUCAGUCGUGAAAACUUAAUUGAAACGAUUAAUAUACGAAAUAAUUAAAUAAACCUACAAUAUUUUUAAACAAACAUAUUGGGAAAUUUAGAAUAAAACUUGAGAGAAUUGAGAGAAUUGUGAGAAUUGAGAGAGUUGAGACUUUAGAAAGAAUUGAGAGAGUUGGAUUCAAGUGAAAAGAAUGAAAAAUGGCUUGAUAUUUAUAGGAAAAAUAAAAUUACAGUUGAAGUCCUUCUAAAAUUUUACUGUUGUCAACGUUAAAGAAAAUGAUCGUUAAUCAAAAGCAUGCCCAACUGAACGUGCUUUCACAAUCGCUCAAAAUUCAACCUAUUUCCUUAAAUUAAAAGAAGAAAACCUAAAAAGUCACUUUAAAAUAUAAUGCUAAUUUAGCCUCACUUUUUCACUUAAUUAAUCAUAUCUAAAAGUGCACUUAUUUCAUAUUGGUGCAGGAUGAGAUUAUAGAUACAUCACCAUUGCUUUUGAAAUAAUGGGCUUUUCUCUUAUUUUGAUUGGUGGAAGAUUUUGGUGUUGCUCACAACGUAAAGGAUAAUUUAUAGGUUAUCAUAAUAGAGAUGGCAUGUGAAUCUUCAUUACCAUUUAAUUAUAGCUUAUCAUGUUGUAGGUGUUCUUUUUCUUUUCAGGCAUGCUGUUAUAGGUUAUCCCUUGGGCUAAAACAUUAAUGGUAUAUAAAUCUUAAUUACCCUUUAAUUUUGUGGGUGUAUCGAUUCAAUAUAUAUUUAUUAUAUGAUAUGGAUGAUUUUUUUUUAAAGUUUACAAGAAUAAAUAUAUCCAUAAAUUAUUACAAAGUUAGUUUUUAGUUUGUGAUUUUUUGUAAUAAGCGAUAAAAAUAAUAUAUUUUAGUUUCACUCUUAAUGCGUUUUUGGAUGAUUAAUUUAUAUAAAAUGGUGAAUGUUAUGCUCUUAACAAUUUAAAUUAAUGUUUUUAUAUUUAGAAGAGUACUUGAGAGUAAAAUGAGCGAAAAUUAGAAAAUCAGAGCAAGUUUCAGGAGCCACACGGGCUCGACUCUCCCACAUGGGAUGGGCACACGACAAUGUGAGCCACAUUGGCUUUUACACGACCAUGUGCUAGACCGUGUGAAAAUCACGAAUUGCACUCCAAACACAUGGAAAAAUACAUUUUUAGGUUGUAAUAAACCAUUUUUGCUCAAGCCCAAACCAAACCAAAUAAAAAUAAAAAUUACAAGUCCAUUUUUUAAAAAAAAACCCUAAGCCCAAAUUACAAGCCCACAACCCUAAGUUUCAGUAAAAUAAAAAAAACCCUAGCCUUCAGCGUCGCUACCCUCCACAUGAACGGGACGCCUCUCGGGGCCUACGCGCCUUUGCUGCUGUUUCACCAAAAUGGCAAGUGCAUGCUUUUUGCCGCGUCAUUGACUCUCCAAGGGCACCUACAAAAAGAAUGAAAAAAAGGACAACAACAGCAAAAACAGUAGCAAAGAAAUUAUACCAACACAGAAACAAAAAAGAAAAGAAAAUGUUGUAAUUUCAAACGGCUAUAAAGGCCGAUUUCUUGUAAGAUUCAAGGGGGGAGAAAUACAAAAAGAAAAAAAGAAAUAGAAAUCAGAAAAACUCAAAAAGAAAGAUGAUUUUUUUUUAUAUUUUCAUUACUUAUUUUUAUUUUCUAUUUUUGAAAACAUAUAUAUAUAAAAAAGUGAAACCUAUUUACCUAUGCCGCCGUAUUCUUCCUUCGUUUUGAAAGACUGACGGAUCUUCAGGGCUCUCCGAAUGGUCAUGACGAAAAAAGAUAGAACUGAAAGGUUCCUUUGAUUUUUUUUUCGAAUUUUGGUAGGCUUUUUGGGCAUUUUGGUCUUUAGAUAGGGGUUGAGGGUAGUAAAACAAUCAAAAAGGCCCAUUUUUCAUUUUUUCGACCACCGUGGAUGGCGGAGCCGUCGUCGGUGACUGGCUUCCACCGAAGGAACUUGCCGAACUUUGAGGCUAGCCAAGGGACUGCUGAAAAAGUGGGAGAGAGUUUUAGUUUUUUUUUUUUUAAAAUAAGGGCAGAAAUGAUUUUUUAAAAAGGUUUGGUGGCUUAAAUAGGUGAUACAAAACGAUGCCAUUUUGGGCCAAUUUUCAGACGUCAAAACGACGUUGUUUUGACACGGCCCGUUAUCCGACCAGUUCCAUCCCCUAGGAUCCGCAUGGAAGGGAUAUUUUUGCUUUCACUCCUUCCGCUUUUUAAUGACAUUUCAAUCCAAUCCUAUUUCUUAUUGUUCUCCUUUAAUUUUUACCACGAAAUUUUGAUUUUAUUUCAUUUUUGUCCCUUAUAGAACGGUGCGUUUAGAGGGCCUAGGAAUAAUUUCCCAGUUGGUUCCCCCUCUUUCGUGCGCAUUCUAUUUAGGUCCUUAUUCGAUAUUAUUAUUUAAUUUAUUAUGAUUUAUAUCUUUAAUUCUGUUUAAAUUUCAAUUUAGUCCUUCAUUCAAUUAAUUUCAUCUUUUAUAUUUGUUUUAUUUAUUUAUUUUUAUUAUUUUUAUUCUUUCUAAUAUAUUUAAAAUUAUUGAUUACUCCUUUUAUUUGUGUAUAUUGUCAUCAUAUUUUUUUAUUUUUUAUUUUUUAAAUAUAUUUAUCAUAUGCUUAAAGUUAAUAUUAUUUUAUUUAUUUGUUUUUCUUUCGCUUUUUAAAUAUCUAAAGUUAAUAUUAUUUAUAUUUGUUAUAUCUAUUUAUUUAUUUAUUAUUAUUUUAUUUUUUAAAUAUUUAAAUUUGAUAUUACUCAUACUUCCUUUCAUUAAGCACCUUCCAUUUUCAUUUUUUUAUGUUAAGUUACUUUAUUUAUUUUGUUGUUAAUGCCAUGAAUUAAUAAUCUUAUUAUUGUUAUAUUUACAUUAUUAUAUUAUAACAUUUAUCCAUGUGUAUAUUAUGACCGAAUAAGUAAAAUGCUUAUUGUUUUAAGCGUUACAUUCGUUUUUUGCACGAUGCAUAAAAAAUGAUUUUUUAUAAACCGAGGCAAAUGUUCAUAAUUUUGGAAUUAGAAAAGUCGUGUCCCUAACUUACGGAAUAUGGCUUUCUUCUAAAACUGAGAUAAUCGAAUAUCAAUUUUUUUUAAAAAGAGAUUUUAGCGUUUGUUCUCGUUUUCGAGGAUUUAAGGCAUUGUGUUCUAACUUAUGGGACAUGAUCCUUUCUUCUCGAUUAACUUGAAAUAAGCCAUUUUCAUGAAAAUUACUUUAGUUAGGUAGUGCCUUAAUACAAAAAAGGGAUUUUGUUUUAAACUCUUUUCGAAUUUUUAAUUCUCGACACUAAGACAUUAAAUAAUCAACUAGGUACCAAUUUUGGGCGCUAUAAGGGUGCUAAUCCUUCCUCAUAUGUAACUGACUCUCGAACCCCUUUUUUUGGAUAUUUGUAAACCGAAAAAUAUUGUUUUAGUGAAUCAAGCCUUUUAUUAAAAUAAUCAAAUUACUAGGUGAUCCGAUUACACCUCAUAAAAAAAAGGGAUCGGUGGCAACUCCCAUUUUCGUUUUCAAAAUAAAGUCGAUUAAAAAAAAGGUUUCGACAUAGGUUUUUGGGCAUUCUAAAACAUAUAUAUGACAAAGAUAAGAACAUGGGAGAUGACCGUCAUAGAAUAUUCAAGAAAAUAACUCGAAAAACACCAUUGAAGUCGACUCUGAAUCAGAUUUCCAUCAAGAUUGAAUAUCUCCUUUUGAUUUCUUUGAAAUUUGUUAUGAAUUUCUUUGUUUCUUGUAAUUAUACUGUCUUCGAGAUGUUUUUAAUUACUAUCAUGAACUAGUUUUCCAAAUACUUAGGAAGAUGAACCGUAGGAUGAAUUCUAUUAUUUGAUUUCUAUUUUUAUGCAAUAAAUAAUUGGAUAUUGUUCUCAAUUAUGUGUGCUUAAUUCUUGGUUUAAUAUUUCUAGACUAUUAAUCCAUAUUUAAUGUGCUAAAAUUAGAGGAGAAAUAGACUUUAUUUAAGAGUAGAUCUACGAUAAUUGAGUGGGGUUGUAUGUAAUCCUAGAAAUAUGACGACAUAAAUCUACCAGAUUAGAGUCAAAUCUAAUAGAAGAAUCUAUAGAUCGAGUUGAUGCGAUAAUAGGGGUUUUAAUUAGAAAGAAAUUUCAAUUAUUCAAUCUAGAACUAGUUGUUCUUAGUCUUGAAGAAGGAUAUUAGCAUAAUUUAGAGAUUUUUACAGAUCAAGAUAUUAAGUAAAAAAUUACGUAAUUUAGAUUGAUAAUGAUAGAUGAAAUAUAGGUCGAUACUUUUAGUUUUCGUGGGAACGAUAUCUAUACUUACCAUAACUAUAUUAUUAAUUGAUGGAGACACUUAUCUUUGUUGAAUUUUUAGUUGAUUUACGACUGCAUCAUUUUGAUUUUGAAAGAGUCUUUUAGACUCUUAUCCUUUCAUUAUACAAGUGGUGAAGUAAAUGAAAUCUCUCACUAUUUAGUAAAGAGGAUCUUAUUAUGUGCUUAUGAUGUUAUUUAUAUUUCUCCGUCAUUUUUAAUUGAUUGUUUAUAAUUUGAUUUGAUGUCAUGAUUUUGAAGGAUCUUAAGAUAAAGUGUACUGAGAAAGUUUAUUGACCUCAAUUUAUCGCUUUUUUUUUUGGAUUUUCAUUAAUGGUAGAUGAAUUUGAUUUACAGCUAUUUUUUCAGUCUCCAAAUUUAAAUGGGUUGGAACUUGGAUGUUUUUGAGCAAUACAAUCUUUGCAUCAAGAAUCUCCAGCAAUUGAUGAGCUAGUGGGGCUAUAGUAAUAUCUUUCAACGAGGUUGUCACCAGAGAGUUUGAACAAUGUGUUUUUAACGUUGAAAUUACGAAGGUUAAUGGAGGAAAUAACAUAUGGGUAAGCAAAGAUUAGAAAGAAAUGGACAACUUUCAACCCAACUCCCUAAUGAAUACUGACCAAGAAAUUGUGCAAGAAGCUUUCCAGCAUCUUUAUGGGUAAUGGUAUUGAUAGUAUGAAAUAUUAUUCAUGUAAAAAAAUUAUUUUAACCAUCCAUUUAUUAUUAUUUUUUAUUUUUUAGUCAUUAAAUUUAGGUUUUAUGUCAAAUUAUUCAUAAUAAAUGGAAAAAUUAACAUUUUUAUUGUAUUUUAUUCAUUGUUAUAUGAUUACACAUAAGCAUUUAGAUAGUUUUUUAAAAUUUUAAAAAUGAAAAAAAAUAUUUUUUUAAAAUUAAAAAUCAUUAAAAUUAUUUAAAAAAUUAUAAUUUUUUAUUAUUUUAAAAAAAUAUUAAAUACUUACAUGUCAUUUAUGUGACAAUUCAAGUGUACGACACAUCAGUAAAGUUAAAAAAAGAAUUUAACUUUUCACCUAUUUUAGGGUGAUUUGACAAAAACACAAGUUCAAGUAUUAAAAGAGAUGAAAAAUUAAACAAAGGCUAAAUUCAUUUUUUCUAUAAAGUUGGAGGGCAAAAAAAAAUAUUAUGACUAUUUCAAAUGCUAACAACUAACCUUCUGCCAUUUGAUAAGUCAUAUAGUUACUAUAAUUCAGAGAUCCAGAAAAGAAGAGCCAAAAGUUGUAUGAAUAAGCCAGUUCCAGCAGCAAGCAAGCUUUUCUGACUGAAAUGUCCCAAAUCUUGGUCUUCUUUUUUUGGUUUGAUGUAGGCAUGAGAUGCUCAAUGGGAUCGAAUGCCAACGAUGAGGUAGGUCACGGAUUACAAAGCAUUUUUACGAGUGUUUAACAUCAGCGGGCUUCCACAUUUUUUUUUAUUUUUUUUAUGUCUGUUUUAUUGUCGUGGUUAAAGAGAGCAAUUUUUAUACUUAUUGGCUUCACAUUGUUACUGUACCGCUUGAACAACCUUAUAGACCCCUCAUGACAUGUCUUUCUCAAAGAACAAAACUGCUUGACAGGUCUUCCCCUCUAAAGCAAACAAUUACUCAAUUACGGACACAGUCCAACAACCCUUCAUCAACAUCUACCAUCUCAUUCAUUGUAACAAAAUUAUAAUGAAGCUGCCCAAAUUUGUCUAUCGAAAACGAACAGGAAGUGCUUUAUUUUUCAAGAAACUAGAGUCUUAAAUCUGGACGGUUUGAUUGCUUAAUAUACGCUCCAAAGGUGUCAUUCAUUGACUACGCUAAAAUCAAAAGAUUUCCCAAAGCUACUCUACUCAGGAGCCAAUGUUAAUGUGAGUUUGCAUAUUAUCUACCUACUGUCUGAAUCUACCUACUGUCUGAUAAAGUACAAACAUAAAGAAGCAGCAUAAGAACAAGAAGAACAUAGAUGAAACAGAGUAACUAUAUUAUUGGUUUCCUUAAAAUGAUAAUUGAUGGAAAUGUAUGCGCACCUCAUUAAGUUGUAAAAUUCAUACAGAGACUGGAAGACAUACUGAUCUAUAAACAAUGAAGUUCAAAUCAUGGUUAUAAAUAUAAGUGUACCUGAAAAAAUUAGCACUACCUUAGCUGCAUAUGCAAAUACAUCUUUAGACGGUUUUCAUUAGCAGCAGCUAGUUAGAAUUAUUUAGAUAGGCAAAAACUAAAGAGGCACCUCCAACAACUAAUCAUAGAGAUUGACUAGGUCUGUAACUUAAAUAGAUCAUCAUUAAUGAACAACAAAAUCACAGUAAUCCCUUUCUCCUCGUUGUGCCCUCAAAAUCGGUUUACUGAAAGCAUUCGACUCCUUAAGAUGGGAGUUUAUUCUUGAAGUUCUUGUUGCAUUGGAGAUGCCUAAACAAACUUUAAAUUGGAUUAGAACCUGUAUCACUAUACCUAGGUUCUCCAUUUCUUGAAAUGGGGGACUAGUGGGGUACUUUAAAGGUGCUAGAGGGUUAAGGCAAUGGGAUCCACUAUCCCCUUACUUUUUUGUGCUAUCCAUGAACAUUCGUUCUAAGCUUCUUGAUGCUGCAGCUACUCAUGGACUUUUUCAAUAACAUCCAGUGUCAUAGGAUAAAAUUAGCUCAUCUGUGCUUAGCAGAUGAUUUGUUAAUCUUUUCCAAGGUAGAUUUUGAUUCUUUUUUGGGGAUUUGGAGUGUAUUUACAGGUUCUAUGAAUUCUCUGGUUUGCAGCUUAAUCCAACAAAAAGUGAAUUUUUUUUCCUCGGGGAUCUCAAAAGAUGAGUUGGAUGGAAUUCAAGCAGUUACAAGUAUAAAAAUAGGCAAACUGCGUGUUAGAUACCUUGGAGUUCCACUUGUCAUAGAAGGCUUACUGUGAGAGAUUGCACCCUGUUAAUUGAUAGGAUUGCUGCAAGAUUACAUAGUUGGGAAGCUAAGCAUUUAUCUUAUGCAGGGAAAGCACAAGUCAUCCAAUAUGUGAUCUUUAGUUUACAGAAUUUGUGGUGUAGACAGCUUAUCUUGCUUAAUGCUGUUAUUCAAAGGAUUAAUCAAUUAUGUUCACGAUUUUUCUCGAAAGGGAAGGAUGAACCUGUGGAGGUUGGUAGAGUUAGUUGGGACUCUAUUUGCUUCCAAAAAUCAGAGGGGGGUUUAAGCCUGAAGGAUUUAAUGUCAUGGAAUCCAGGAUAUUAAAGCCAUUUUAACAAAGCAAGGGUUUUUAUGGAUUGCGUGGCUUUAUGCUUAUGUUAUAAAGGAUUGUUUCUUUCGGCAGUUGCAAGGAACAAAGGGAGGAAGCUGGACAUGGAGGAAAAUAUUGAAGAUGAGAAGCGUUGCUAUAACAGCAUUAAAGUUACCAAUUGAUGCUGGGAUUACUGUUUCUAGAUAUUGGAAAGAAAUUAGAAAGGAGAAGGUGCUAUGGGAUAGAUUGGGUUCGUGGAUGGUCAUAUGGGAUAGGCUGCUGACAAAGGAGAAAUUGAUUUCAUAUGGAAUGAAUAUUGAUGGAAACUGUAUUCUGUGGUAGGGAGAAAGAAAGCAGAGAUCACCUUUUCUUUGAUUGUGAUUUUUCAAAGGUGGUCUGGAAGGAGAUUCUGAGGUUAUGUUAUGGGGUGGCUCUAAGAGCUUCAUUGGGCACUUGAAAGAUUGAAAAGGAAAGUCUCUUAAUACUCUCAUUUUGAAAUUUGCUUGGGAUUUGGAAAGAAAGAAUCAAAAGAUUAUUUCAAGGGUUGCAAAAAAUAGAGGAUAUUGUAAAGAGUAAAAAACAAAAUAGUGAAAAUAAGAUUACUAGGGAAAACAAUAGGUAGGAUUGGAGGAGUUAACAAUAGGCUUUCUAUAGAUUGGGAUAUUAAAAGAAAGGUAAAUUACACCCAUGAUCAUUUUUGUUUACCUCAUAUUACAUUUUAUUCAUUUAUGUUUGAAAUAUUACGUUUUAGUCAUUUGUGUUAUCGUGUUGUAACAUUUUAAUCACUGAACUGUUAAUUGCCAUCAAUGGUGUAACGGUAAGCUGAUAUGGCACGUUAAAUCAUCAUUUCAAACAAAAAUUUUAGGUUAAAUUAUAUAGUUGAUCCCUAUAUUUUUUCUAUUUUGUGCAAUUUAAUUUUUUUUCCUUUUAUGUUAAUUUAACUCUUUUUUUUCCAUUCUCUUUCAUCCACUAACACCUUCACCAUUACCAUGACCUCCUUUCGAAAACAUCUCAAAAAAUUCACAACUUUUGGACUGCCCAAGAUUGAAUCUCCAACAUCUGUCAUGAGAUCGGCUUGAUUUUCUGAUAUGUGCUGCUCCUCACCAAUACCUUCUUCCUGAUUGUUAGGAUCGAUAAGAAAGUUGUCGGAGUACCUCGAACCCCUUGACUUGAAUCUAAUCCCUCUCUUUUUCUCAAUUUCUCUCUCUUUUUUACACUUUUUUUUCUUUGUUGCAAGUCUAAUCUUUGGCUCUUUGUGAUUUUAUAGGGCUUAUUAAUUGUUUUUUACUUGGAUUCUUGAUUGAUUUGAACAUGGGUUUAUUUGGUGAAUGGAUGAUAUUGUUGGGUUAGUCGUGAAUGAGGUCAUCGUAGUGGUAAAGGUGUUAGUGGAUGACAUGAAGAUGAUAGGUGGUUGUGGAGGGUUUUGAUAGUUAGCAGAUGAUAUGAGUUUAUGGGUUUUGGUUAUAAGCAAUAGUAAGAAAACAAAGGGAGAAUAGAAGAAAAUGGAAAAAAAAAGGAGAGUUAAAAAAUCAUGAAAGAAAAAAAUUAAAUUGCUCAAAAUGAAAAAAUAUGAUGACCAAUUGUAUAAUUUAACCUAAAAUUUUUAUUUGAAAUGAAGAUUUAACGUGCCAUGUCAACUUACCGUUACACCGUUAACGAAAAUUAACAGCUAAGUGACUAAAAUAUUACAACACGAUAAUGUAAAAGACUAAAACGUAACAUUUCAAAUAUAAAUGACUAAAAUAUAACUUGAGGUAAACAAAAGUGACUAUGAGUGUAUUUACCCUUAAAAGAAUGAUUUAGAUGAUAUAGAAUUCCUUUGUAACUAUACGUGGACUUAUAACUUUGGUAGCAGACCACUGCUUUCUUUGAGUAAUUAAUUUUUACGAUUAAGUAUAUAAUCUUUUUUAAAAAAAAAAAAACUCUCACUGGCAUAUUUAAAUUACACUUGGACGAGAAAUUAUUUUAUGGACCAUUCUCAUUAUAUUAUUUAUGGUUCUUUUUUUAAUUAUAUAAUAAUAUUUUAGUAAAUUCUUUUGUCAUUGAUAUAUAACUUUUGUAAUAUUUUUAUCCCGAACCAUAAAUCUCAAAUCUCAAACUAGAACGUUAAACCCCACAUCUUAAACCUCAAACCCCAAAUUUAAACAAUGAACCAUGAAUCUUGAACCUUGAACUCGAAUCGUAAACUUUAAACUCAAAACCCCAAAAUCAAAUUCAAAUCUCAAACCUAGAAUCUUGAAUCCCAAAUCUUAAACACCAAAUCUCAAACCUUGAACUCCAAAUCAAAACCCUAAACCUUAAAGCUUGAUUCGAGUUUGGGGUUCAAUAUUUAGAAUUCAAAGUUUGAGGUUCAAGAUUUAAAGUUCAAGGUUCAAGAUUGUGGGUUCAUGGUAAAAAAAUUACCGAAAUUAUUUAUCAAUGACAUGAAAAAAAUAGUAAAAAAGACUAUGAAUGAUAUGGUGAGAAGGGUCCAUAAAAUAAUACAAUUUCUUUUCCUUCAUCAAUUUAUUCAUUAACAUUUUUUAAAAAAUCAAAUCAAAUAUACACUUAAAUGAAAUAAACUUGAAUCAUAGAUCAAAUAUCGGCUUUUUUUAUAAAAAUAACCCAAAAAAUUAAUUAAUUACGUAAUUGACCCACUUUUUUAUUAAACACAUAAAUAACCUAAAAUUUACCGUGAAAGUUGGUGGAGUCAAAGAGUUUGGCACCAUCAACGUACUAUGUUAGCAACCGUGAUAAAAAAAUUAUUUUUUUGGUGGAGCCACGUAGAAUGACGCCACCUAUAUAAAUAUCAGGGAAAUACUGUAAUUUUUAAAAAAUUGGGGGUAGGCUUUCAAAAAAUAUUCCUUUUUCUGGUGGAGCCAAAUAAUUUGGUGCCACUAGUUUUCAAUAUUGUCAAUGUCUUUUUUAAACUUUGUUGAAGUGUCCUUUUUUUUUAAUUUUUUAAUUAUUUGUUUUUAAAAUUUUAAAUCUAUAUUCUUUUUGGUGGAGCCAUUCUAAAUGGCACCACCAAUACAUUUCAAGGCUUUUUUAAAAAUAUUUUUUUAAUUAAAUUUUUUAAAAAUAAUAUUUUAUUUGGUGGAGCAAUUCUUUUUUGCGUGACCAAAUUGAUAUAUAUAACCCCUCAAUGGCAGAUCAAUUUGAGUUGAAGGAAAAAAAUUACUUAUACUUUAUUAGAGGAUGAAUGAGAGAGAUAUGAGAAAUUUAUGUAUUUGUGUGUGUGGUUUUUUAAUCUGAUGGUAUGUUUUUUUUAACGAUAACCCCGUGAAACUCCGACACCAACAAAUUUAAUGGUUGUUUUUUGAUGCCAAUUAUUUAUUUAGUAACGGGUUCAAAUUGGUUAUAUAAUUGCUACCGUUGGUUGUGGUAAGACGAUAACGGGUUCAAAUUGGUUAUGCAACCAACGAGUAGAUUAUUUUGGAUUCCCUAGGUCAAUGAGAUGUUUGAAGAUUUUAAGAAAUCUUAAAUCAAAUCACACGUGUGAAAUCAUCAAUAUCGGUAGCAUUCGUGCUACAAUUUAAUAGCACCAAGAAAGUCACUCUUGUUGCGGUUAAACAAUUUAUUUUUCAAUUUGUAAGAUAGAAUGAUGUCGGUUUUGAACAAAACCGUUUAAUUAUGUUUUGUUUGUAAAACACAAUAUUGUCAGUCUUGAACAAAAUUGUUUAAUUAUUUUUUUUGAGUAUUGAGAAAGUUGUUUGUAUUGUAAAAUUAUAUAUUGUAAGUUAAGUGAAACUAUUUAGAAUGUUUGAAAUGUAAAAUUAUAUUUUAUAAAAUAUAUUUUUUGAAUUAUGUAAAUUGAUAAUUAUCUUGUGAAAUAUAAUUUCCAUAUAAAUCAUUUAUGUAAUGUGAAAUUAAGAAAAUCAAAUGGACAUUUUUAAGGAAAGAUUGAUAAGAAACAUUUUUAAUAAGACCAAAAAAUAAAAAAAGUUCGGAAGAAAAAUAAAGAAAAUGGGGGUUGAGUUGAUUAAAAAAAUGAAAAAAGAUUUAUUUGUAAAAAAAUAAAAUAUGGCAUUUUUAAAAAAAAUAAAAGAAUUAAAAAUAAAUAUACUAACUGAUCACAUUGCAUCAAUAACGUCAGUGAUGUGACUGGUAAGGAUUUAAUAAUUGUUACUUAAAAGAAAAAAAAAAAUGAAAUGAAAGGGGAAAAGAGGAGACGUUGAGCUAUUUACAAAAAGGAAGGUGGAGCUUUGGUCCCCUUCAAAUUUUUUGUAUAAUGAGAGGAAGAAGGAAAGAAAAGAGAAAAGCAAAAAUAAAAAAAUAAAAAAGGUUUUAUUUGUUUUGAAGCUGAUAAGUCCAAGUAAGGUAUGUAUAGUUUUUCUUAUGUGCAUAUAUUACAUUAAAAGUAGUUAUUGUAAUAUGAUAAUUAAUUAUAUUUAAUUUAUGUAAUUUCUUUAAAAUUAUAUAGAUAUCAGAAUGUCUUUUUAAGUAAAUACGGAUCACACUUUAUCUAGGAUCAAUGAAACAAUAAAAUUAAUUAUAAAUUAAAUAAAAAAAUAUUUCGUUUUGGUUUCUCGCUUUUUCUUACUCAGCUCUAUUUUACUCUACGUGUUUUGGUUACAAGAAACUGAUCUCUAUUUGAUUGUUAUUAGCCCUUUUUAGCCUAUUUUUUGCAUAAACUGAUCUCUAUGUGUUUUGCAUGUAUUGAAUUUUUUUAUACAAAUAAAAUUUAAUAUCUUAUAUCACAUUUUAGGGCUGUUAUUAGCUAUUUUAGCCAUUUUUUAGCCCUUUUUUUUAUUUUAAUAAUAUUUUAUUACUCAUUUAAUUUAAUUUAAAUAAAAAUACUUAAAAUAAAAAAAUUUUAAAAUUAAUUUUAUGUUAAAAUUUAAUAAAAUAUAUAAUUUCUUUAAUUUUAUGAGUGUUGAAUGUAUGAGUAUGUCCAACAUGGUAAUGUUAAAUUAUUUUCAAGUUUCUCGUGUAUUUGAAAAGUCUUUCAGGAAUCUAAUUAUAACGUGUUAUUAUUAAUCUAGUCCACCAUUCUUAAGCAAAUGGUCUUCUCUUACAAUUUAAUUUAACAUUGGUAACUUGUUUAUAUUUGCUAAGCCAAGUUUACUUUGAUAUGGAUGUUUGCUACGUUGGUUUGAAUAAAAACAUUUCGUUGCAUUUUCAAAAAUUUAUUGGGAUUAAGAUUAGACCAUUAUAUAUGAUCAUCUCUCAAAGUUUGCUUUGAUAUGGAUGUUUAUAUAUGUACUUUGCUUUUACAUGUUAUAACUAUGUGUGAAAUAUGUAAUAUGUAUAUAACUUCUACUUUUAUAAUUUAUAUUAAAGAAAUGGCUUAAAUGCAAAUUUAACUCUCAAGCUUUAAUUUUUAAUCACUUAGGUAAGUUCUUGCUUUUGUAAAAAAUAGCAUUUAAACUAUAAUUUCAUGUCCCGGCUUUUUAAUUUUAUGUUUAAACAUAAAAUUAUCCUACAAUGAGGAUGAAUCGAAAAGUAUAAUAUAAGAUACUGUUUUUGUUUUCUUAAGCUUUCAGUUAUACUCUUCAAUAUAUAAUUUUAUGCUUAAAUUAUAUAGAUAAUUGAUUUAUCAUAUUUUUAUAAAAAUUUUACCAUAUAGGAUGGGUACUGGGUUUUAAGGUCACGGUUUUUUUUCUCAGGUACGAUCCAGACGAACGGAUCAUGCCAUACUUAUAGUUGGUGGGAUUUGGGGAUGUUGCGUUGAUCUGGAGGUUUGACUUAAGGGCGAACCUAAUAUCCGCCUUGGUUGAGUGGUGGUGUCUAGAGACCCACACCUUCAUUAUGUCGUACGAGGAAUGCACUAUCACCUUGGAAGAUAUCACAAUACACCUUGGGUUACGAGUUGACGGUGAUGUGGUCACGGGCUGAAGCAAAGUGUUGGAACCUUUAAUAGUAUGCCACAUAUUGCUUGGACGGUCCCCUGGUGAUAGGGAACGGAACUUCAAGUGCUUGACAUUGGCAUGGUUGAGAGCAAAUUUCAAGGAGUUAUCAAGCACUACCAUUGAGCAUGAGGUGAUGUGCGCUGCUCAAGCCUAUAUUAUGCAGUUGAUCGGGGGAUACUUUUGCCGGACAACACUUCUAAUAGGGUCCGCUUAAAGGACUUGUCUCUAUUGGAGGAUUUCUAUCGUGCCGGUACUUACAUCUGGGGAUCAGUAGUGUUGGCUAUAUUGUACCGUGAGCUUUAUCGAGCAACAAAACAUGGGGUAAGUAACAUGGCCAAUUGUGUGAGUUUGUUGUAGUCCUGGGCUCUGUACAGGAUGUCGUUUCUAGCGGCUGUUAGACACCAACCAUAUUCGUGGCCACUUGUCAAUAGGUAAAGACAAAAUUAUACUUAAAAUUUAACUGCUCAUAAGUGUGGAUAAUAUUUUCCCAAGUUUAAGUGCUAACGUGUUUGUUUCGAUUUCAGAUGGGCAACGUCUCUGGGAAUUUGUGCGAGCAAAACAUUAAUCACCGUCAGAUGAUAGAGGCAUCUGCCAGAGAGAAAGUAAUAUAUAUUGAUUUAACUUAAGUAACAUUGAUUUAACUUAUCCACUUGCAGUAUGUAAUGUGACUUGACUCAUUCUGUUAUAUUGUACAGUUCUUGUAGAUGCCGUAUUCUGCAGCGAACACUACAACCUUUAUUCCAUAGUGGGUUCAUGCCGAAGUCCAUGUGUGGUGCAUUAACAUGUCAGUGCUCAACUUCUCAACCAUUGAGUGGUGCAACGCCGAUUGGGUCAUGCAACAAUUUAAGGGUAGACAAUUUGUGCCGAACAAUCCAUAACAAUUUGCUGAUGUCUACGGUAAGAUCAUGAGGGGAAAAGAUGGAGCAAAUUGGAGCAUAGAAAUCAGCAUUAUAUAGCACUAUGGAACGCCUGGUACAAGAGGCGGCCUGAGUUGCACUCUUGUAUGUUUGACUUCAAUCCUCGAUUGAAUACAUGCAGUACAUGACUCAAUAACACGUUUAUUUAUAUGAUAGACAACUUAUGAUAGUACCGGAUCACGACUACAGACGUGGAAGUCAACUUAUGAUAGAGCUCAACCUAGAGGAUGAACAUAUGGUGGAACUCGACCAGGAGGAUCAACAUAUAAUGGAGCUCGACCAGGACACAUGGAUUGACGCUUUUUCUGAGGGGUCUCAGAGUAGUUCAUAUCACCCGGAGAUGGGCGGUUCUAGUUCUACUUACAUACAACUGCAACCGCCAAUAACAUUUGAUAUGUUUCGUGAUACAUGAAUGGUUAGGCUAUCUUUCACUAGUGGCAUGAUGCAGUUGCAGAUACUUUUGACGUCUAAUUUUCUGUGGUCUUGAGACAUACGUGCAAUAGUGUAGUAUGACGCCCUUCUAAUUUUCGUAUUUGCCAUUGUUGAGUCCUCUAUAUAAAUGCAGCUCGAACUCGCCAGCCGUACCUAUCACUGACUCUCUAACAUUCCCCAACAUAUAAUAUCGAUGUAGACUUGGCAACCUUAUAAUCAAUUGAUACCUUCAUGUUGUACUAUUUGAAGGCAAACACACAGUUUACGUUGUUCUCGAAUCGUUGCCCAACAAACAACUCUUCCAACUACGAAUUUGACGCUAAUCUGUGAGCAGGUACUAUAUUGGCGUACUCAGGGAACUCGGAUGCAUGCGCUACAUCUAAUCUACGCUCAACAUGUUGCCCCUAAGUUCAUUUCAUAAAAUAAUUCCACGACUCGAGUUAUUGAAUGAAGGGCCCUGAGCAUUUUCAAUCUCCUCCGGGCUUUCAUCGUCGAUAUCAUCAGGAACUUCAUCAAUAUCGAUGUCACUAAAAUCUUAAACGUCCUGAUUAAAAUCUUCACCAUUAUUGGUCAUUUCUCUGAUGUUUUCCUCGGUGCUUAUUAUCACCUCCGGAUGUAUUUGUAGACGGGGACCCGGGGUAAGGUGGUUAUACGAUUCCCACCAUAAUUUGGAUUUUCGAGUAUCUAUGAUGUCCCUCCGCAUUCUAACUGAUCUAUCCUUCUGACAUUAAGAUCAAAGUCAAAUCCAUGAUGUUGACUUAUUGUACUAACAUUCUUAACGGGCUUUAAGUCUGCUAACUCAACAAAUAACUCAACUGGUUAGGGAUUCUUACUCCCAGUCGAACACCAUAUUUCCAUCAUAGUGCCCAAGUCAUCAUCAUCUAACAGUUGUAUCUCACAAAAUUUCAACAAAUCUGUAGAGAUUGGAAACUUGUAAAAUAAUUUGAAUGUCACCCUUCUACAACGGAUAGUUAUUUUCGCACUGAUCUUCCUUUUCAUUUCUUUUAGUUUCACAUUUUUAUUGAAUCGCAACCCCACUCUUUGCCGACCUUAAAAGACACAACCAACAUCAUCUUCUACAAUUUCACCAUAAAAAAAAACGUAUACCAAAAACACCGCGUUAUUCAUCAUCAACAUGAUUUUUGAACUCUCCUACUAAACAUAACAAUUUCUCUCUUUUCUUUUAUUCCAGUUGAAUUCUUACAAAAAUGACUCAAAAUAUAUAUGUUGAAGAACUAAGUGGUGGAGCCAAAAUAAAAUAUAAUUUUUAAAAUUUUUAGAUUAAAAAAAACACAUUUAAAAAAGAAAUUACAUUGGUAAUAAAAAUGGUGGCGCCAUUUAGAGUGAACUCCACCAAAUAAAAUAUAUUUUUUUAAAAAAUUUUAAAUAUAAAAAACAUAUUUUUAAAAAAAAAGUCUUGAAAUGAACUAGUGUCGCUAUUUAGAAUAGAUCCACAAAAAAGAAUAUACAUUUAAAAGUUUAAAAAAUAAAUAAUAAACAAAAAAGGAAGGACACAAAUUAAAUUAAAAGAAAUGGCAAAUAAUAAUAAAAAAAGGACACAAAUCAAAUUUAAAAAAAAAACUGUGGCAGACAUUGGAAACUGGUAGCGCCAAAUGAUUUAGGUCCACAAAAAAAGGAAAUUUUUUUAAAGCUCCCCUCCAUUUUUUUAGAAUUUACAGCAUUUCCUUAAUAUUUAUACAGGUAAUGUCAUUCUGCAUGGUUUUACUAAAAAAUUAAUUUUUUUAUCAAGUUGCUGACGUGGCAUGUUGGUGGUGCUAAACUCUUUGACCGCACCAACUUUCAUGGUAGAUUUUAAGUUAGAUACUUGUUUAAUAAAAAAGUGGAUCAUUUACGUAAUUAAUUAAUUUUUUAAAAUUAUUUUUUAUAAAAAAACCAUCAUAUAUGAUUAUUAUGGGUUUUUUACUAAAAAAAUAUAAAAAAAUUAAAAAAUUUAAAAAUAAUACACCUAAAAAAGUAAUUAUGAAAAUGGUAUGGUCAGGGUGGUCACGCCACUCUGACAGGCAGCACCACCCUGACGUGACGGUGAACAGUGACCUGCAACAGUAAAAAAAAACUGAAAAAGAAAAAAACACUGAAAAUGAAAAAAAAUAAAAAAAGGGUCAUGUUGGUGCCAGAGGUGGCACCAGUGUUGCCUCUGGCAGAGGCGGCACCAAUGUUGCCUCUGGCAGAGGCGGCACCAGUUGUGUGGGUCCCACAAGCUUAAAUACAUUGAACUUAAAUACAAAUAUUAUUAUUAUUUUAAAAUGAUAAUAAGUAAAAUAUUUUCGUAUAUUAUUUUUUAUAUUAUUUUAGCAAAAAAUGUUUCAAAUGUAUUAUGUAAGUGUUUUUUAUAUUAAUUUAAUAAAUAACCCUGAUUUUGACAUUUUUUCGUAUUUUUUUCGUAUCUUAUUUUUUAAAAUAUAUUAUUUUCGUAUUUUAUUUCUUCAUAUUAUUUUAGUACAUAAUGUUUCAAAUGUAUUAUUUAAGUAUUAUUUAUAUUUUUUCAAUAAAUAACCCUGAUUUUAGCACUUUAUUUGUAUUUUUUUCGUAUCUUAUUUUUUAAAAUAUAUUAUUUUUUAUUUUAUUUCUUUAUAUUAUUUUAGUACAUAAUGGUCCAAAUGUAUUAUUUAAAGUAUUAUUUAUGUUUUUUAAUAAAUAACCCUGAUUUUAGCACUUUAUUCGUAUUUUUUUCGUAUAUUAUUUUUUAAAAUAUAUUAUUUUUGUAUUUUAUUUUUAUAUUAUUUUAGCAAAAAAUAUUUCAAAUGUAUUAUGUAAGUGUUUUUUUAUAUUAAUUUAAUAAAUAACCCUGAUUUUGACACUUUCUUCGUAUCUUAUUUUUUAAAAUAUAUUAUUUUAGUAUUUUAUUUCUUCAUAUUAUUUUAGUACAUAAUGUUUCAAAUGUAUUAUUUAAGUAUUUUUUAUAUUUUUUCAAUAAAUAACCCUGAUUUUAGCACUUUAUUCGUAUUUUUUGUAUCUUAUUUUUUAAAAUAUAUUAUUUUUGUAUUUUAUUUCUUUAUAUUAUUUUAGUACAUAAUAUUUCAAAUGUAUUAUUUAAGUGUUUUUUUAUAUUUUUUUAAUAAAUAACCUUGAUUUUAGCACUUUAUUCGUAUUUUUAUUUUCGUAUAUUAUUUUAUUAAAUUAAUAUAAUAAAAACACUUACAUAAUACAUUUGAAACAUUUUUUCCUAAAAUAAUAUAAAAAUAAUAUACGAAAAUAUUUUACUUAUUAUCAUUUUAAAAUAAUAAUAAUAUUUGUAUUUAAGUUGGAUGUAUUUAAGCGUGUGAGACCCACACAACUGGUGCCGCCUCUGCCAGAGGCAACACUGGUGCCGCCCCUGGCACCAACAUGACCCAUUUGUUUAUUUUUUUCAGUCUUUAAUUUUUUUUAGUUUUUUUUAACUGUUGCGGGUCACUGUUUAUCGUCACAUCAGGGUGGUGCCGCCUGUCAGAGUGGCGUGACCACCCUGAUCAUACCAUUUUCGUAAUUACUUUUUUAGAUGUAUUAUUUUCGAAUUUUUUAAAUUUUUUAUAUUUUUUUAGUAAAAAAACCCGAUUAUUAUUAUUAUUUUGUGAAAUAAACCUGGAACUUACUACAUUCCUAUAAAAAAUACAGUUAUAUAACUCAUUGAAACUUCUUAAAAGCUGCUUAAAUUGUUAAACCAUUCCAUUUUACUUUCCAAGACAGCCACAGCCAAAUUCCAAGAUCUUGGAUUUGACACGUAACCCAAAACUACAAUAGCAGUCAUAGGGGUGAGAAACUCUAUUCACCCCCAAUUAAUUCUACCUAAAAAAAACUAAACAUCAAAAUAUAAAAUAAAUUAAUAUAAAUUCGGAUGACAAUUGAAUGAAAACUUUUAAGGGUGAGUUUGGAUGGGCGGUGCGUUUAGCUGCGGUUAGUGUAAAAACAGCGGUGGCGGUGAGAUUAGAUACUGUAGCGAUACUGUAGCGUGAGAUAAAAAGUAAGUUAAACGCACCGCACCACAGUCAAUCGCCCAUCCAAACGAAGCCUAAGAAUGUGUGUUUUAGACUAAAUCUUUUUAAUAUUUUAGUGACUUUUUUAGGGUGUUUUAGUAUUUUGAAGUGUAUCAUUUCAAAAUAUUAGUGUUUGGUUGGGAUAAAUAAUAUAUUUUUAUUUUUUUAAAAUUAGGUUAUUAAAAAAUUUAAGUUUAAAAAGUAAUUAUAAAAUAAGAAAAAAUUAUUAAAAUCAAUAAUAUAAAAAAAUACAAUAGGGAUAUUUUUGAAAAAAAAUACAAAACAUAGGACCAAAAAUAUUAAAUGAAAUAAAAUUAUUAAUUUUUUUGGAAAAUUACUUAUUUAUAUAAAAAAUUCUAUUAAAAAUUUUGAAGUUUUAUAUUGUUUUUACUAAAGAAAUUUAAAAACUUGAAUAGAAAUGAAAUAUAUAUUUUUUAAAUGUUUAAAAUUUCAUUUAAAAAAGGCCAAAAUAAAUAUAAUUAUAGUAAUGCAAAUAAAGGAGAUGAAGUAUAAUGAAUGUUAAAGAAAUGGAAUGUGAUGGAGGACAGCCACAGCCAAAUUUCAAGAUCUUGAUUUGACGUAAAAUGAGAUGUGGACUUUUGAAAAUUACAAUUGCAAUCGUAGAAUAUAUUUUAAUGUUGUUUUUACGUAUUUACGCAAUGGAUACCUACUUUUUUCAUAACUUUAAUCAACAUUCAUAUAUGUAAAUCAAAUACACAUAGUGAGGACUAUAAAGGCGGAUAAUACUCUUGCUCCUUCAUAACCUAACUUAAUACACUUCCAAAUUUAUAAUUUAAUUCCCCUCUCAAUUCUAUUUAUUUUUUAGGCACCCUUCAAUUUUUUUAUAAGUCAUUUUAAUUCUCUAUUUAAUUUUUCAUAUUUUUUAACUUUUUUUUGUCAAAUCACUCCACUUAGAUGACAUAUUAGCAUUUAAUUUUUUCUAAUUUAAAAGAUAUAUUUUUUAAUUUUUUAUACUUUUUAAAUAAUUUAUAUAAUUUUUUAUUUUAAAAAUAUUUGUUUCCUUAUUCUUGAAUUUUAAAAUUUUAAUUAAAUUUUGACGUGUCAUUCACGUGCAUACCACAUCAACAAAGUUAGAAAAUGUUAACUUUCCAUUCAUUUUGGGGUGAUUUAAAAAAAAAUAAGUUUAAGGACUAAAUAAAUUAAAUAAAGAGCUAAAAUGAUUUUUUUCUAAAAAGUUGAAGAUCUAAAUAAAUCAUUAUGCCAAAUUUAUAUAAUAUUAAAGAAAGAAAAUAAUAAAAUUUGAAUUCGUGUGAUUUAAAUGUCGAAAAAAAUUAUUUUGCACGAUUAGAGGUGAAUCUAAGGGGUUGGCAGGGGCCCGACCCCUCUAAAAUGAAAAAUUAUUGUUUUCACCUUUUAAAAAAUUUUAAAAUUUUAAAUUAUUAAAGGUAAAAUUACACUUGCCCCCUAAAAUUAUGAAAAUUUAAUUUAAUUCUUUAAAAAUUAUAAAGAUAUAGACUAUUAAAAAUUAAAUUUUCACUUCAGCCCCUAAAUUUUUUUUUCUUCGCCCUGUGAACAAUAUUAUAUUUGAUAUGAAAAUGUAAACAUUUAGUGAUAAAUUCAUUCAUUCAUCCUAUAAUUACCAGUUUGAUACAUGAAAAUUAUUAAUUAGGGAAUAAUUGGUGUUGAAAAAUGACAUGGUUUGGGAUGUGAAUGGAAGAAAGAGGAAGCAGAAGAAGACGAUGUUUGAAUAGUAGACUGCGUGCCAUCCAUGCCCUCCUACCGUAUAUGCCUAUACCAUACACAUCAUGAUUCAUUCCCUAUUCCUUAAGUAAUUAUUUUAAUUAGAGAUUUAAAUUACCCACUAAAAACUCUUUGAAUUGACCAUCUAUCUAAUCCUAUACGCCCAUCGUGUGAAUCCAAACCCUUGCACAUUUCCUCUGUGAAAACGAUAGAAAAAGAAAGAAAGAUUUGUUUAUUAAAUAUAGGUUUGGUGGGUGGGCAAGGAUUCCUAUUAACAAAUUAGAUUAACAGAAUUAGCAUCAUCAUCACCUCCAUCUCAAUCUUUUAUUUCACGAAACUUCAUAUAUAAAUUCACAUAUAUAUAGGGUCAUGGGAAGCUCCGGAAUCCAAAGUAUAUUAUUAUAGUUAAAAAGCUUUGAAAUUAUGGGGAAGAAGAUAAUAAGUCAAGUGAAAGCGAAAAUAUCUAAGACCAGCUGUAGCGACAAGAAGCCAUUGAUGAACAGUAUGAUAAAGGUGUUGCGACCCAAAGUUUACAUCAUCGACAGCUCCAGUUUCAAAAGCCUUGUUCAGGAGCUCACUGGCAAUUCCACUGUUUCAUCACCUUCUUCUUCUUCUUCUUCUUCUUCUGAGAAAAUGGUGCCUGUUAUUGAGGUUGAAGAUGAUCAUGGAAACCCUGAAAGUAGCAUGGAAUAUUCAGCCUCCUUUGAUGCGUCGGUUGAGUCAUUCCGGGCCUGCAACGGUUUGACUUUGCCUUUGGAUGAUACGAAUAUUCAAUCGGAAUAUAUGUUGAUGAAUCAGCGGGAGAGUUCAUUGGUGUAUGGGGAUCUUCAGGCAUUUUUAGAGCUUGAUGCGGAUGAGCAAUGUUUUGGGGGUUUGGAUAAUGUGUAUUCUGAAAUUGGGCAAGAGGUGAGUAUUUAUGACUAUGAGUUAUCUGGACUGAUAUGAAAGCUGGUAGCCUACCUGGCACCUCCAUUUCAAUUUGCCUGUAUGUGGUUUUUGUCGUAAAUACAGAUAUUUAGUUAAUAGAUUGUACACAAUCAGAAGACUGUAUUUUUUUUUCCCAUUUCCGUUGCACAGAGAAAUGGUAUUUUCAGUAUUCGUUUGUACUUUGGCUCCUUUGUAAAUAUAGUUGAACGGGUGAUGUAUAUAUGUAUACAUAUAUACAUAUAUUAUAUCUUUGUAUUUUUUUGGAAAAUUUAAUUACUGUUCAAAUUUAUUAUCCAACUUCCAUGGAGGAUUGCAAUUGAGAAAGAAAUUAAGGACCGAUAGAAACUAAAUACAAACUCUGGCUAUGAUUAAAAGAAUCCGCAUAAUGUAAAAAAAUAGAUAAAAAUCUCAUACCUGAAUAUAUCAAAAUUUAGGAAAUAAUUUAUAUUAAUAUUUAUUUUAAAAAUUAAAAUUUUUAGAUUUUAAUAAAAUUUAAUAUUUUAAAGAUAUAAAAUUAUUAUUAUUAUUAUUAUUAUUAACCCAUUCAUAUUCAACUUAUUCUCAAACUCUAAAAAAUAAUUAAUUAAAAUAAAAAAAUUAAAUAAUAUAAAAACUUUAAAAUUUACACGUAUAGCUACAACUGCAUUUAACCUCACUAAAAGCAUAUUCACAGAUGAUCCAAAGCUGCAAGGACAGUAGCAUAACAUGUGUUGUUUCAUAUUAGCAUUCCCAUUCUUAUUGUUUAGUCAUUUCAUUUCCCUGAAAAAAUCCGAUAAACACGCUGAUAUAGAACAAAAAAAAAAAAGAACGUUAAAUAAGUAAGGUAUUAAAUGGAAAUAGCGAGAGAUUCGAGAGAAACAAUGGCAAUGGCAAUGGCAUUUCCCAUAUAAAGAAAAGACAAAUUAUUUUAUAAAAUUUUGUUUAAAUUAUUUUCAAAUUAAGUGAAGAUUAAAUAAGUUAAAUAUGUAGAUUUUUUUAAAUUGAUUAAAUAAAUUAUUCUUUUAAGAUUUAGAUAAAUAGACUAAUUUUGAAAAAAAUGUGUGAAAGCGCAUUCAGCUGGACAAGUUUUCUAUUAACAUGUCAAGAAAAGCGUGCCCAACUAGAAGCGUUUUUUGAAAAUCCCGAGCUUUCCCUGACAUAUCAAUAGAAAGCGCGCCCAUCUAAACAUGUUUUCGCACACUUUCUCUCCAAAAUCGGCCCAUUUCCCUAAAUCUUGAAAAAAAAAAUUCUAUUUGACCAAUUAAAAAAAAAUCAGCAUAUAUUACCUAUUUAGCUUUAAGUGAGACUACGACACAUGCUAAAUGCUAAUAAUAAGGCGUGAGUUAUAAAAUUAUUAGACAAAACACGUUAGCGAAUAAAAUAAAUUAAUUAUAAAUGAACGCAUAUGAAAUAAAAUAUAAAUAAACACAUUUAGGCCUAAUCGGUCCAGACAUUUCGCAUCACCCACGUCAUGCGGGUGCGCCCCAAUCCUAUCGAGUUUGGACCUACACCCCCUACACGUAAGGUAAGGUUAUGUAACAAGUUUAGUUAUUCAAUUACUUUUUAAGAGAGUUCCCAUAUAUAAACACAUGUCACACUUGGUAUUUAACCAAUUUGGGAUCUAAGCUUUUACUUUUCCUCAACAAUAUUUCCAAGUAGCUUACUUUGAGCAUCAAUUUCUCAUUCAUCACUCAACCAUUUUGAGCAUAUGAUAUACCGUUGUAAAGGUCUCAUGAGUAGAAUAUGAAACCAUAAUUUUAUGAGUCAACUCUCCACUUUUACCUAUUGAUAAUAUGCCUCAAAGUUCCCAUAAAAGUAAUUUUUCCAACAAAAAUAUGAUCCACUUUUAUAUACAAUUUUUUUUGGUAGAAGAUAACAACAAACUACGAUUACAUCAAACAACACUUAAGCCCAUGAAGGGUUGUUACAAUUAGCUAACAACAACCCCUAAACAGAUAAUGACGGCUCAUCAAACACACAUAAACUCAUAAAUCUAAAAUUCGCACACUUAGCCAUAUAAUCUGCAACUUCAUUAUGCGCCCUUGGAAUAUGAUGAACAUGUGCCUUCCAAUUCCUACCUAAGAGACUGUAAUACCCCGAAAAUUUUUACAGUAAGUUAUUAUCCUUGAUAUAGUAAAAUAAAAAAAUAAAGUGACAAAAAGGAAAAUUUUGAGUUGUGUCAACCUUGGGAAGUAUAUUAUGAUAUAUUAAUUAAAAAAAUGACUAUAUUGUAAAGAUGAGAAAAGUCUUGUUACACAAGAGUAAAUACUCAAAAUUUGAGGGGUUAAAGUGUAAAUAUGAAAAAUUUAAAGGACCAAUAGUGAAAAUAUUUUAAGGGUGGAAUGAUCUAGAAACUAAGAAAAAUGGAUGAAUUAGGACCAAAUAAAAUAGGUGAAAAUUUAUGAGGGACUAAAUGACAAUUUUACCAAAUUAACUGAUGACUCAAGGAUGAAAUUCUAAAAGAUCAUGAAGGGCAAAAUGAUCAAUUAGUAAGAGAGAGAAUUCUAGAAUGUAAUGAUUAUGUUGAUAAUAUUUUAAAUUAAUGAAUUAGAUAAAUAUUAUUUUAUUAAUAUUUUGAUGAGAUAUUUAUUAUUAUUUUUUUAUUAUUUAUUUAGUAUAUAAGGAAGGAAAGAUGAAGAAUUAUCAUCAUCUUUCCAUGCAUGCAAACAUUAGAAGAGAAGAAAAGAAAGAAAGUUUUCUUUUCUUUACAAUUUAGUCCUUUCACCAAAAAUUUACUAUUUUCACCUAGAAAUCAAAAGAAUUUCCAUAACUACCAAGAGAGAAAAAUGUUAAGGAGACUAUAGGGAGUUAGAAUAUCAAAUUGGAUUCAAGGAAUAGAAGCUGGAGGAGAGAAAAAAUAAAGAUGAAGAUUAGAACAAGGUAAGAACAUCAUGAUAUCAAUAUAUUUUUAAGUUUGAUAUUAUUGAAAAAGCAUGGGAUUGAUGUUAAUGUAGAGUUUACUUACAUAUGUCCUAUGUUCUUAAUAUGUUAGUGAAGAGAAAACAAGAGAAAGUGAUGAGAAAUAGUGUAGAGAAAUAAAGUAAGGGUGUUAUAAACAUUGUAAUUAAUAUUUUGCAUUAAAACAGUUUUGGACAGCAACAGUGGUCUAACUUUGAAAAAUCACAAAAAAUUGAGGAAAUUGAAUUAGAAGUUGAAUAAAAUAUGAAAUUAAAUUUUAAUAAGUCUAGUUUUUCAUAGAAGAAAUAUUGUAAGCAAUGAAAUAGUAAAUUGUGAGAUAUAACAAAUUUAGUUAGACAAUGUCAGAUUGAUUUCGAGUUCCCCUGUUCUGACUUUGGAAAAUCAUCAAAAAUUGGAUAAAAAUAAUUAUUGGCUUAAAUUGAUAUGUUUAGAAUCAUGAAUGAGUAUAUUUUCAAGAGAAACAAAUGGAAACAUCAUUUGGAUCCUGUACAAGGAGAUAAUUAAUUUUUAGUGAAGAAGGGUCAGAACUGUCAGAUAGCAGAACAAAUGUGAAUUUAAAGAAUAAACUGUACUUAUUGGCUAAAUCAAAAAUUCUGAAAAUUUUAUGGUAAGAAUAUAUGUAAGUCUAGUUUCAGGUAAAAUUAUUAUAUCUUAAUUUCUAGUUCUGUAGCUCAAGAUAUAAAUAAUUUAGUGACUAUGACUCAAAUGGACAGUUUUGAACAUACAUAUAAGUAAAUAGUAAAAUUAUUGAUAAUGUUAUUUAUAGCAAGUUAUGUAAAUUAAGGAUGUGGAAUGGAGAGGAGGAGGAGGAAAAUAUGUAUGAAUAUUCAUCUAGCAUGGCUAAUUUGCAUGUUUUAGGUUCAUGGACUAAAUUGAAUAAGAGUAAAACUUUAGGGGCAAUUUUGUAAAAAUGUCAAAAAAGAACCAAAUUGAAGAAAAUGAAUUGUUUUAGCGUUUAAAUUAAUAAAUUGAAUGAAAUUAUUAAUUUAGAUCAAGAUCGGGUGAAAAAUCGGGAAAAAUAAAAAAUUACCAAAAUGCCCUUGAAUCUUGAUAUUUCUGUAAUUUAACCAAGUAAGCUCAUAUAACUUAAUUAAGUAUGAAAAUGUAUUGAUUUGAUUAUUGACUUGUAAGAAUUAUGAUAUGUAAAUGACAUGAAUAUGUAGCAUGAAAUGUUAACAUAUGACAUAUGUGAUUGAUAAAAAGGGUACAAGAAUCCGUUCGAAUAUUGAAUUCCGAUUGGACAAGUGAUUACCCUUAUAAAUGAGGUCUUGCAUGUGUUACAGUAAAGGUUAUUCCGAAAGGAGUAAUCUUAUGAUCUCAUUAUGAAAAGGAAUUUCACCUGAAAGGGUGACACUUGAAAAGGAUACAUGUACCUAAAAGGUA
rnacentral:lncRNA from 1 species